rnacentral:lncRNA from 1 species
UUUUUUUUUUUUUUUUGUCAACGCAGCGGGUAUCUGGGUCCGUGGACUGGUUACCGUACGACUCAACUAAUCCCACUGCGUGGCCGGGAGAGGCUGCCUAACAUCACCGACCAGGUAAACCCAGGGACUUGAUCCCUGGACGUGGCUCUCCCCCAACUUGGACUACGACCACGGAACCGAACCCCGAAGGGCAUGUAAUAGAGUCAUUUGUUUAUUACUAUAUAUCUCGUGGGAGAGCUGUACUAGCAUUUAAACAUUGCAAUUCUCCAAUCUUUCCCGUCCUUAACUUAUUUUAACAAAUUCAAUAACGUCCAGAGUCACACAUAUUUAAUCAAGCAUAAAGACAAAUUGUAAUCAUUCAUGGACAUAUAAUCAUUAAAUAAGUACAUAUGCUCAAUCCAAUUUGAUAUCACAAAAUACAUUUUUAGCUAUUAAAUUCAUAAAUACUUUAUAAUGUAGACACCAAAUUUUUGGUGUUUUAUUAUUUAUUUAUUUACUAUUCGUUUUUUAUUUGUUCUAUUUUUAUUUGUCACAAUUAGUUAUUUACUUUUAGUUUUAGUUAUUUUAGCCAUUUUAGCGUAGAAUUUCUCAAAGGAAAAAAGAAAAGCGUUCAAAAAAUAUGUUUUAGUUGUUUUAGAUUUAGUUUCAUUAUUUAAAAAUGAAAAUGAAAAAAAAGGAAAAUGGAAUUUGCAUUUUGUUGUUUCUAGUUUAUUUAUUCUUUAUCCAAUGUUAAUUGUUUUGUUAUUUCUUUUUAUUAUUAUUAAUUUUGUUUUAAUUAAUCUAAAAAAAUCAAAAAAAAAAUCAAAAAAAAUCAAAAAAAAUCAAAAAAAAUCACAAUUCUAUUUCUGCCGAAUCCAUUUCCACUUCACAUUCUAGUAUUUUCUAUCCUUAGUGCCGGUUUAUAUCACCACGACCUCGCACCACCAAUUCCAUUUUUUUUUUUCCUCGGCAUCAAUACAUCCCAAAACCACAACAAGAUUUUCCAUCUGCCUCGUGAUCAUCGACAGGGAGAGAGAGAGAGUGAGCUGCAAUCAGCAAGCCAUGAGGACGAGAGGAAACCAGAGAAAGGGUGGAGUGAGUUGCGGCCUUGAGCUGUCCGAGAGAGGGUGAGAGCAAGAGGAGAAACCGCGGCUGCAAAAUUUCCUGGUUCUGUCCGAAAGCUAGAGUGAAGCCAGGGAGAAACCGUGAGCAAGUUUCACCAUUCUGCACUUCCAUUUCUACCAGCUGCAAUCAAGUUUCCCAGCCGCAACCACCACCAGUUCCAUCAUCUGCCACAGCCCAAGUAAACCUGUAUUUCAGCCGUGCGUGAGAGCCGAGAGGAAGAAAAAUUUUCAGACUUUCUGUGCAAGAGCUUAGCUUGCUGUGAGGUAAUUUCUGGACUUUUUAGGUUGAUUACUAGUGGAGGAAACUAUAUGCGAGUUGCAUGUGAGGCUUGUACAGUCGGUGGAUAGAAAUCAAGCCAUUAGGAAAUUUCUGUUUUGGCUAAGUGUUGCUGCCGAGAAACUGAUGAUAGAACGCAGCUGUAUUUCUGUUUUUCUAGGACAAUCUGAGCACCUAAGUGUACUUAACCGAAUGAAAUUGUGAUGAUUAAGACCAUGCAUGUUAAAUUGUGCAUUCGGAUGAUGUUAUGAAGCAUGCAGAAAUUCUGUUUUGGCUAAAUGUCUCUGCCGAUGAACUAAUUUGGGACAUGUAAUUUUAAUUCUGACUCCAUGUGAUAAUCUGAGCUUAAUUGAGGAUCCAAUUUGAUAGAUAACCUUUUUAUUUGGUGUUGCAUGUGAACCUUAUGGCCAGGAAUCUGAUUGCAUGGCUGGAAUUUUUUUUAUUAGAAGUUGUUGGACUGCUAAACACUUUUCCAGCUUAGCCGAUGGAGUUGUUUUGGGAGUUGUAUGGGUAUUUUAGAAUGAGAUUUGCUGGAAAGUGUUUGAUUCUCACUGGGUUGUGUGUUUAGCUAACUAAAUGCUGGAUGAUUAAGCCCUGCAUGAGAUUAAUUAGCUGUGUGUAAACCAGAAAUUUGAAUGAAACAAAAAAAAAAUCUGCUGCAUGCAUGUCAUCCGUAAAUAGUUGAACAAAUUCUGGAAUUUUGGAUACAUUUUGUUGGUGACCGACCCUGUUUUGAACUGGAAUUGAUAAUGACUUCAUUUAUUAGUCUUGCAUGUUAGUUUUGGGUACAUAAUUUAGUGUUUCAGCCGAGGAAAUUCGGUUUAAAGAUGGACUAAAGCUGCUGGAAUUUUUCCAGUGUAGCCGAGUGAAGAAGAAAAGAAUUUUCCAGUUUGUUUUUGCGAAUUCUGGGUUCUUAUUCAUGUUUGGGGGGCAAAUUCCUUGUAUUUGGUCUGUAAAUGACAAAUUGGUAGAACUGAUUUGAGUGUUUGCAUGCAAAGAUGGCUGAGCUAAGAUAAAAGGAGUAAAAAGCUGCUGCAUCUUUUUGUCUUUUUGUUUUCUUUUCCAUGGCUGUUUAAGGGACCCUUACGUUUAAAUUGCUUGUUAAAUCUGGUUUUAAGGAGAAGGAAUGGAAUGAUUUGAUGUUAAGUUUACGUUUGAGUCCUUAAAACACUUGAGCUAUGAUUAAACACCAUGCUGAAAAAUAUUUGAUCACGGUUGUGAUUAAGAAGCUUGAGCUUGAGAAGAAAGUGCAGCAGUCUUCGGUUGCUAGAGUAUGUGAAGUAAUUGCAGAAACUUGUUUCAUGGCUAUUGCAUAGAACUUGCAUGUUUUUUUCCUUCUAAGUUUUCUACCUGUUGAGGCGAUGGUAAUGACAUAGUUUGCAGCUUAGUUAAAGCUAUGUAUGUGAACUUGAAAUCUGAUUUUUUGGAAAAUAAGAUGUGAGUUUGAGUUGGGUUUCGUUUGAGCAAGCAUGAGAGAAAAUAUUGCAGAAACUCACUUUGAAUUUGAUUUACUUGCUUGUUUGGUUGUUAGAUUCAUGCUUUAAUGUUUUGGUUAGAAGAUUUUUCGAUCAAAAUGGUGUUAAGGUUGAGAAAAUGAAAGUCACGGUUGUCUUCUGGGUUGCCGAAAGCUUUCAGCAGAAAUUUCUGCUGCAGAAUGUUGUUUCUCAUGUUGAUUUUCACGUAGCUUGCAUGAAAACUGCAUGAAUUAAUUUCUGAAAAUUGCACUUUGAUCCCCAAGUCUCCCCUUGUUCCACUAUGGCCCAAUUACAUUCCAUGUUCUUGCAAUUAGGUCCUAAGAUAUUUGCAUUUGAAUCAUUAUUUGCCUUUUCUUUUGCCCUUGAACCCUGGAAGUUCCUAAAAGUGUUUGUUUAAGCUUGAAUGCUUGGCUAGUGUUCAUAAUUGAAUCUUUGAUAACAUUAAUGUUUCAAUUCAAUUACUUGCUUGACUUCAUUGGUUACCAUGUUUUGCUAAGGUGAUACUUAAGGCAAGAGUUUAAGAACUUUGUGUUCAAAUGAGCUUGUGUUCGCCUUUCUUUUUGAAUUUUCUGAAAUAAUUUGGCUUUGGCCUUUUCUUGCUCUUGGAAUUUCAAAGUUUCUAAGAUGUUCCCAUUGGCUUUGAAUGGUUGAUUAAUUUCUUGCAAUUGAGUCCUAAAGUAUUUGCAAUCUGAACCAUGACUUGACUUUUUCAUCACUCUUGAACCUUUAAAGUUCUUAAAUGUUCUAAUUGGGCUCACAUGAUUGAUUAAUGUUUGCAAUUGGAUCCCUUUUACAUGAUAAUUCGCUUCGGUAUGUUUUUACGUGAAUUGUGGACAAAUUUCAAUGGAUAAUUCCCAAUGUCAUGAAAGCUUAAUAAUCUUGGAAGAAUUCAUAGUCUUGGUUUCAUUUGAUUCAGUUUUUCUUAGAUAAUUUUGUUAUUUAAUCACAAUAAAUAAUUUCUGUGAUAGUUUUUCUCUUUUUGUGAUUUUUGCAUUUGAUUGUGAUGGAUUCCAUCGUAAGCAUUUCAAUUUAGCACUCCACUUUAGAUUCUUGAGACCUUUUAUUUAAGACCGAGUUUUGCUUGCAUGUGCAUGAUCUAUUCCAUAUUUAAUUUUCGUUUCAUGCUUAAUUUCCACUUUUGUGUUUAAUGGUUGUUUCAUGUGAUUAUUUGAUAAUUAAAGUGGUACCUUGACCUUUUUAUUAUUUUGGAGGGUAAUUUAAUAAUUUCACUUCAUUAGAGCAUCGAUUCAAGGGAGGUACAUUCUAUCCCUUAUUUGCACUUCAUUUGACCCUACGUGCUCCUACGUGUUAUGUGAAUAUGCAUGUCUAUUUCGCUUUCCUUGCCUUUCCUUAAUUCCUUGCAUUUAUUUCAUUUAUUUUUACUUUUAUUUAAGUUGUUCUUUAUGGGGUAUGUGUACACCUCUUAGCUUGUAAUAGAUAGGGCUUGGAGAAGCAUUUGAUGAAGACCUAUUGAAGACGUGUGCCUAGCUAGCAAAUGUAAUAGAUUUAUUAGUUUGGUUGCUUACCUUUGUUGCUACAUGUUAAUUUGCUUUAUUAGGCCCUUGCAUCUAGUCGAGCAUGCUAAAUGUUAUGUGCUAUGUGUUUACGAACGUUUGGCAUGUCUACUAGCUUUCUGUAGUGUAGAUGAAUGGAAUGGAUGAAUGUACGUUUCCACUAGUCCAACGCUAGUCGGAAUUCAUAGAAUGGGCUAGUCCAACGCUAGACCCUUAGGGAUUUCCCCUCGUUAGUACAUGUUUGUAUGUUCAUUACAUGUCAUGCAUUCUUUUUAGUUUUGUCAUUUUUUGCAUGCCCCCGAUUCCCUUUCCCUUCAUUUUAGGCCUUUGCAUUUCAUGCUAGUUAUAGGGUCCAUUUGCCUGAGAAACCCCCUUGGGUAAGGGAAACGAGCGAGUGUGGCUUCAAAAUAGCCUUAGCACGCUAGUUUUUCCUUCUAAUCAAAGGGAAAAUUAAAAUCACAAAAACUAGAUGUCAUUCCCGUACCCGACCUGAUGCAUUCCUCUAAGUUCAUGCAUUUUCAUAUCAUUUUCUCACUAUUUUCCUCACUAAUUAUAUAUUUUAAAUCCACAUGUCAUAUUCACACACUUAUUCACUUUCUUUACUUUUCACUUCACACAUUGCACCUAUUUUACUUAUAUAUUUACUAUUUUCAUUCACUUGCACACGAGCAUUUAUAUUUCAUUCAUUUGCACACAAACACUUUCAAAUUGCACACAUGCACUUUUUUCUACACUUUGCACACUUACACUCUCAUUUGAGUCCUCAUUUGCAUCAUUCAUGAUUUUCUAUGAGGACUUUCCUUAUUGGCCGUCACGACUCGUGUGAAUGGGACCAAAAGCCUCAUAAGAGACAUUUCUUAGAUUUAGGAUUACAUUUCUCAUUCAUUAGUCAAAUCCAAUUUGCAAUACAUACUUUGGGUAGAAAAUAUAGGAAAAUAAGGGUUAAAUCACGCAACUAGCCUUGGUUAGGUCGAAGGGGUGCCUUGGAUUUUUAUCCUUGCCUUCCCCUUCGUCAAAUGUGACUCCCGAACCUUUUUCUUUGUUUUACGUGGACUAGGAGUCGUUUAAAAAGGGUUUUCUUACUUUUUUCUUUAAAAAAUUCAUUUUUUGGGUGACUUGGUACACCCUAACUCUAUACCAAGUGGCGACUCCAUUUUUCAUAUAAAAACCCUUUUUGAAUUAUUUUUCUUGGGUCAAAUCGUCGCAUUUUCAAAAGUCCCAUUUAGACCCAUUUUUGUUUUUAUCAACAAAAUUCAUUUUUCCCAAAUCAAUAAAAUUCAACAAAAAAACAAUUAUUUUAUUUUUUCCAAAAAAAGUGGGGCGCGACAGUUGGCGACUCCACUGGGGACUUCCUAAGUGGGUCCAAGCAUUUGAUUUAGCCAUUCUUUUCCUUUUUUCUACCCUUUUUAUGUAUAGCAUUUGGAUAUUAGGAUUGCAUUUUCCCUUUCUAGGACUUUUUGCCACGUACGCGCAUAUCAAACUACUCCCUCACUCAUGUAUGUAUGAUUGGAUGAUUGGAUGUAUGAUUGUACUUGCUUUAUCUCGCGCUUUGCAUUUGCAUUUUGGGGGGGGGGUGUGUCACCCUUAGAGCCACGCGUUGGUUCUCGAUCCCUCCCCUCCAAAACGUAUACUAUCAUACGCGCAUACGCUUUAUUAUUCAUCCCUCUUUAUUUUCUUUUUAGUGGCUUGUCACGCCACUCCACCCUAUUAGGAUUAGGAGACCCACUUGGACGUGUGAUCGUGACACGACGUGUGCGUAGCACGAUCCAAUGGGUCACUCAAUCUUCCGCUUUAAACUUUGGGUUGAUAGCCUUUAGUUUUUAGUCGAAGGUUGAGGGUUUUUUAUAGAUUCAUUCAAACAUGCAGCCGUAACACGACGUGUGCGUAGCGGUGUUUGGGGAAUCGCUCGAGCCACCGACAAAGGGCCUUGGGAGUGAUGACCCUUGGCCACGAGUCUGAAGGCUUGGGGACCUGAGCUUAUCGAGUCUAGAUGCAUUAGUGAACCCCAACCGCAUGCAUCCAUAUAGUUCACCUAGGGUAGAGUCUGCCUUGCCCUAGUAGGGACACCAUUCACGAGGGGAGGGAUCCCACCCUUUUCCUUAUUUACUUUUCCUACUUUUUAUAUCAUUUAAUUGUCCAACGUGUUAUGUGAUUAUGUGUUGAAUUAACUUUCCUUGUCUCUUGCCUUUGCAUUCACAAACGUUAGGAAAUAAGAGGUCGGGCAUGACCUUCUUUUAGGACCUACCCUUAUAGAUAGGCUAUUGCAUGUUUAGAAAUUUCGGUGUAUUUCAUUCGUAAAUUAAUAAUGGCAUGUCAUUUUUAGGCUUACCCUGGCAAACAAAGGAUUCCUUAGGUCAUGUCUCAUUUCAAAUUGCAUAUCUUACUGCUUUUAAUAAACUGGCAUCACGCAUCCACCCUAGGAAGGGAAUGCCAUUUAGGGGAUCCCGUGUUUAGGAAUAAGCCACCAUAUGUCUCGGAUACUUAAUCCAAGGAGACUUGCACGUUUACAUUUUUUGUAUCAUCCAAAAGGGUAGUGCACAAGGUAAGGUAGGAUCCGAUCAUUUUCAUAGAGCGAUCUUUGGAAUAUGAGCGUCUAAUAAUCACCUUUUGGCCACUUUAUCAAAAUUGGUAAAAAUCCCUUGCGUAAAGGACAUUAAUUUGAAGAAACCCAAAUAAUUCUUCACUAUUGAGACGAUAAAUCAAUGGAGGCCAAAUCUUGAUUUUAGGAGGCUCAUAGACUAAGACAUUGUAAUGAUUUCUUGAAACUACCCAAUGGGUAGAGAACUCAAUCGAUUUUUGAACAAAUCAUCCAUUUUAUCCAAUCCAUUUUUGUCAAUUCAUUCAAUUUUAGUUCAAUCUAAUCAUUUUUGAAUAAAUUCAUUUCAUCCAAUUCAUUUGACCAAUUUACCCUUUUUAGGGUCAUCCGGUCAAUUUUUGAAUAAAUCAAUUCAUUUGACCAAUUUACCCUUUUCAGGGUCAUCCGGUCGAUUUUUGAAUAAGUCAUCAAUUCAUUUGACCAAUUUACCCUUUUAGGGAUUUGGCCGAUUUUUAAAAUAAAUCAUUAACUCCAUUUCAUCUCUUUGGCCAAUUUACCCAUUUUUAGGGCGAAAUCAAGUUGAUUUUGAAGAGAUCAUCAAUUUCAUUCAAUUCAGUUGACCAAGUCUAUCUAUUCGAUCAAUUUUGAAUAAAUCGUCAAUGUUAUCCAACUUACCUAUUUUUAGGUAAAUCGGUCGAUUUUGAAUAAAUCACCAAUUUUAUCCAUUUGACUCGCUUUUUCCCCUUUAGGGUUCAUUGAAUAAAUUAAUCGAGACAUGGCAAUCCCUUUCACAAAUCAUUUUAUGUGUAGAUCAAAGCAAGCAAUCCGUUCCGACUUCGUCCUCAUGUUUUAGGGCAAAUGUCUCUUCUCACUCCAAGUGGCCAAAUUUUUCAAAUCAUUCCUCACACGAUCAGUCGAUCGGAUCCAUCAGGUAUUGUAUAGUGCCUGCUCUGGAGGACUGCAUUUUCAUGCUAGGCCUACCCUUGGCACAAAAGGGUUCCCCCAUAGGACAUGCAUCCGAAUUUUUUGAAUAUCUACUAACUCUUGUUUUUUCUUUUCUUUUUCUUUGUUUUUAUUGGAAUAACUAAGCGAGGGUUAAAUCUAAAGGCAAUCUUUCAAAAAUUCUCAGGUAAUAUUUAAAUAUAGCUUCUCGUCGAAGCCCCAUCAUAACGCGAUCCCGUAGUCAAGCCCAGAGGAGUCGUGUAAACAUGAGUUCACAACCGGAACAGUCAGAUAGGUCUGCUACUACCGCUCAACCCGAGACUGCAAGUUUGGGGAUUCAGUUGACUGAGAUGCUUACCAAGUUUGGAGAGAUGGCGUCUGAGAUGGCCGCUCAAAGGAAGUUGAAUGAUGAGCUAAUUAGCAGCAGAGUUCAACCCGAACCUGUACCCGCCAGACAGCCUGAGCAAGAGCCGUUUGUCCUACCUUCGGCCCAUGCCACUGUUAUUCCAUCAUUUCCUAUUGCACCCGAAGAAACUUUCACCUAUCCCACCACAAAUUUGCCAUACACUUACCCUCCUCAUCCUUCAUUUUUUCUUACUCACACGCGAGGUCCACCACCCCAAAUCACUUCAAAUAUACCACCUGAGCCACAUACCUUUUAUUACCCUGUUGUUGAGCCAUUCCUACCAGACCAUAUUGUUCAAACCAAGGCAGAAAUGGGGGAAUCUUCUGCUCCCGUUGAUAUAAAGCUGCUCAAACGCUUUGAUCGUUUCGAUGAGUUUAUGAGGAAGAGUCAGGGGUUGAACAAGCAAGGAGUCCUGGACUACGAUGAGCUUUGUCUCUUUCCCAAUAUGCAAUUGCCCGAGGGGUUCAAAACCCCUAAAUUUAACAAGUACGAUGGGACGGGUAAUCCCAAGACACACCUCCGACUAUUUGCUAACAAGUUGGGAAAGCUUGUAGACGACGAGAACCUGCCUCUAAGGUUGUUCCCGGAAAGUCUGGAGGGGGAUGCCCUCGAUUGGUACUCAAAUUUGAAGUCCGAAGAAGUAAAAACCUGGAUUGACUUGUCCAAUGCUUUUGUAAGGCAAUAUGAGUAUAACUGCGAGCUGGCUCCAACACGAAAUACGUUGGAAGGAACAAAAAGAAAACCCUCCGAGGAUCACAAGACUUAUGCCAAGAGAUGGAGGAAAAUAGCUGCCAAAGUCGAGCCACCAAUGACUGAGGACGAAAUCAUACGCACUUUCAUUAAGGCACAUGAUCCUCCAUAUUUCGAAGAAAUUUUUCGCAUGACUGGAUGCUCGUUCGCUGCUAUUGUCAAUAAGCUUGAGGAAUUUGAUGAUUUCGUAAAAGGUGGGAAGAUUGUUAAUGUCUCUACCCUCAAGUCACAGUUGGAUGCUUUGCAAGGUCAGGGGACUAGUGGGAAGAACCCGCAAUUCCAAAAGAAAGAGGGGGAAACUGCUUUCACAUGGAAUCAAAAUCCUGUCCCAAGACCCAGACCUCGACAAUACCCUACCUACUCAAACCCUUACCCCUACUACUCAAAUCCUCGUCCUGUUUACCACACCAAUAUCACUCAUCCUCGACCUCGCCCAAAUUAUGCCAACCCGCCUACAACCCCUUUCCAAAUAUCUCAACCAAGCUUUCAACAAGCUCGUCCUCGGCCUCCUUACCACCAAAGAUUUCCCCCACCAAAUAGACCCACCUACAACUAUCCCCGACCCACUGAAACCUACAAUCAAAGCCGUACUCGAACCUUCACCAACCUAGGCAGGCCUUUGGACCAAUUGUAUGAGCAAUUGAAGGUUGCCAACAAAAUAGUCGUGAUUCCCCCUCCAACUUACCUUCAUGGCAUGCCUGCUGGGUACAAUCCACAUGCUAUUUGUGCCUAUCAUUCGGGAGUACCUGGCCACUCAACCGCCGAUUGUAGGGCACUUAAGCACAAAGUCCAAGACAUGAUCGAGGCAGGAGAAAUAGUGCUAAGGAAAAGAGGUGAACAAGGGCCGAUCAUAAGUACAAAUCCUUUUCCUGAACACCAGGACACCUUCGAGGCAUCCACCUCCAACGACGAAAUUUGAAAAUCCUGAAGGAGCUUUGCACAAUUUGGAUGGCCGAGUAUCUUCCCUCUCGAAGGGAAUUUCGGUUAAUCUAGGGGUUGUUAUUUACUAAAGUUCACAAAAACCAUUUCUUGCAUAUGUGAAUAGCUUCAUGAAAACAUCUUUCGCAAUUAAGCUUUUGUCUUGUUUUCGCUUUGAUUAGUUUUUCCAUUAAAUGCACAAUUUGUUUAUUUGAUUAUUGUCCUGAAUUUUAAUUCUUUUAAAUGGCCAAAGAUGAAAUUAUUUGACCCUUUGAAUAUCACUGUUCUGGAUUCCGAUAAUACCAUUCAUCCAAAAGUCCCUUCAUUAAGAAAUCCCUUCAUUGAAAAAUCCCUUCUUUGAGAAGGUCAGAAAUCCCUUCGUUGAAAAAUCCCUUCUUUGAGAAGGCCAGAAAUCCCUUCGUUGAAAAAUUCCUUCUUUGAGAAGGCCAAAAAUCCCUUCAUUAAAAAUCCUUCAUUGAAAAAUCCCUUCAUUAAGAAAGCUCUUCAUUGAAAAUCUUUUCGUUAAGAAAGCCUUUCAUCAAGAAAUCCCUCCUCUGCCAAGUUCUAAGCUGAUUGGUUAAAGCAGCGUCACCGACGAUUGAUUUUGAUGGAUGAAAAGCAGUUGAAUGUCGUAUGGCCUGUGUUCAUAACAAAAAGGUCCGCCACCGGUCCUUUAGAAAAGAAGGACAAUGAGUUAAAGCGAGAUUUGCCAAUGCAAGAUGAAAUCAAAGACGAAUUUGGCCUAAACUGGUAAGGCCAUUUGUCAUUCAAAAAGGUGCUACCGAGUGGAGCACUUAUCCUUGAAGAGAUGGACGAACAAACAGUCUCUCAACCUAUCAACUCAGACAUGUGUAAGAAGUUUUAUUUCUGAUUAUGCAAAUUUCUUUUGAAAAUCAUGCAAGGAGCGAAACAAAAGUCAGGCCAUCUUCUUUUCCAAUCAAAACAUUUCAUCCCUAGUCAUCCCUUUUGAGCUAUCAGAACAAUAGUUUUUUCGUUUGGCAGCCCCUGAGGAUUGCAAGCCCCACACUGGGGCAAAUUCAUUGUGAACAGAGACGAUCCGAAAGAAAAGGUAAAACCCCACACUGGGGCAAAUUUAUCUUUGAAAGAAAGAUGGAAGACAAUAAACCCCACACCGGGGCAAAUUUAGCUUUGAAGAAAAAUGCAAAAAGUGAGGAAAAUGCAAUGAAAAUGCAAGGAGAGAGGAUUCAAUCGAACUGGGGCAAAUUUCCCUCAGUUUCGUUCGAAAUUGAAGAUGAUUUCAAAUGAUGCAAUCUCAGGUUAUUUCACCUCUCAUAAGAGCAAAUUGUUUUCAAGCCUUAACUUUUCUUGACAUACUCCACCUGACCCCAUUACAAAAGCCCAAAGUCCUGUCUUUCGUCACUUGCAGUAUUUCUAUUGGAAAGUUUGCUAAUCAACUGACAAGUGAUGUCCAUAAUGCCUUCGCCUAAACUUCUAAGGGAAGUGCAUUUUACUGAUGCCAGAAAUCUUCAACUCAUACUCCUGAGUCGAUCAUGGUUGAGCUCUUUCAUUUGCGUCUUUAGGUGAAAACCCGAAAGGGCACCUCAAAAAAAAAAAAGAAAAGAAAAAAGAGAAAAGACAAAACGAAACAAAAAGGGGGGGCAACCUUGGUAAAAACCCGAAAGGGCACCAAGGUAGGAUUUUGCAGCGAGCAAGCACAAGGAAGAACAGCUGGUGAUUUGGUUCAUUUGGAUUUCUCCUCAUUUUGUCAUACUUCUGUCAAUUUUGAAUUCCAGAACAAAGAUAUCCAGAGAAUUGAAUAUGACAUUUGUUGGCCAAAACUGUGUCAUUUUGUAAAACAUUCUUUUGCAAAUACAUUCUUAGGAAGCUCAUUUUUUCAAAUUACUUGCAUUCAUGGCAUUUUUGUAGAAUUUAAGCACAAAUGGUUAUGUGUGCAUUCUUGUGCAUAUUUAUUCUUUCAUGACAUGUGAAUUUUCUUGCAUACUUCAUUCUUUAUCUUUGAAUUUUGGUGAAUAACAAUCCCCGUGGUUUAUUCGAAGCAUACUUGGGUUCAGUCAUCUUUUGAAAAGGGUUAAGGUUCAACAAAGUCAGUUACGCAGACUUCACAAUAUGGCAAAGCACAUACCUGAUCAGUUUGUAAAUCGAAAAAACCUUAGGGUGAAAAAUCCAACUCAAUCGACUGCCGCAGCAAAAGUUGAUAAAGGCGUUGAAAGACUCAUGUUUACACGAUUCUCAAAGGAAAACGGAUCAAAUGAUGGUGGCAAUUUCUUUGUUUUUUUCUCUUUUGCAGAAAAAUUGCAUACACAGAUGAAAGUAAGCACACCUCGCACUGGAAUAGGUGUCGGAAAGAGUCCUCCGGUGAACAAAGGCAGAUUGAAAAUGUCGCAAGCAAAUUUCAUCAAAAAAUGCAACAGCAUGGCGAUACAGAAUCAACUCUGGACUCACAUUGCAAACAUUCAUCAUACUGAGGCAAAUUAAUUUUUUGGAAAGAUUUUCAAAAGUCAAAAAAAAAAAAAAAAAAAAAAGGAAAAAAUCAUCAAUCAAAAAUCAACACAGAUUUUAUCACGGCAGGCUCGGGUUUAAUCCCACUGACCGAUUGUCAAAAGCAUUUUCGGGUCAGUCCCAUGACCAAAAGCAUUUUCGGGUCAGUCCCACGAUCAAAAGCAUUUUCGGGUCAGUCCCAUGAUCAAGAGCUUAUUCGGGUCAGUCCCAUGACCAAAAGCAUUUUCGGGUCAGUCCCGCGAUCAAAAGCAUUUUCGGGUCAGUCCCAUGAUCAAAAGCAUUUUCGGGUCAGUCCCAUGGAUCAAAGCUUAUUCGGGUCAGUCCCACGAUCAAAAGCAUUUUCGGGUCAGUCCCAUGAUCAAAAGCAUUUUCGGGUCAGUCCCACGAUUCAAAGCUUAUUCGGGACAGUCCCGCAAUUCAAAACUUAUUCGGGUCAGUCCCGCGAUUCAAAGCCUGUUCGGGUCAGUCCCACAAUUAAAAUCUUAUUCGGGUCAGUCCCGCGAUUCAAAGCUUAUUCGGGUCAGUCCCGCGAUUAAAGCUUGUUCGGACCAGUCCCAUGAUUUGAAUUUCCUUCUCUAGUCAGUCCCGUCUUUAAAUUUCGUUCGGGUCAAUCCCGCUUUAAAUUUCCUGUCUAAGUCAAUUCCAUUUUAAGUUUGUCAAAAGGGGUAAAUCCUCAUUUCUAGAGUGUCAGUCGUUUAAGUUUAAUGCAGCCAAAUAACACAGGUAAUUAUUUGGUGUCUACUUCUUUGUCUCAAGUUUUUUCAAAACUCAGACAAAGAGGGGCAAACUGUAGACACCAAAUUUUUGGUGUUUUAUUAUUUAUUUAUUUACUAUUCGUUUUUUAUUUGUUCUAUUUUUAUUUGUCACAAUUAGUUUUAUUUACUUUUAGUUUUAGUUAUUUUAGCCAUUUUAGCGUAGAAUUUCUCAAAGGGAAAAAGAAAAGCGUUCAAAAAAUAUGUUUUAGUUGUUUUAGAUUUAGUUUCAUUAUUUAAAAAUGAAAAUGAAAAAAAAGGAAAAUGGAAUUUGCAUUUUGUUGUUUCUAGUUUAUUUAUUCUUUAUCCAAUGUUAAUUGUUUUGUUAUUUCUUUUUAUUAUUAUUAAUUUUGUUUUAAUUAAUCUAAAAAAUCAAAAAAUCAAAAAAUCAAAAAUCAAAAAAAAAAUAAAAAAAAAUCACAAUUCUAUUUCUGCCGAAUCCAUUUCCACUUCACAUUCUAGUAUUUUCUAUCCUUAGUGCCGGUUUAUAUCACCACGACCUCGCACCACCAAUUCCAUUUUUUUUUCCUCGGCAUCAAUACAUCCCAAAACCACAACAAGAUUUUCCAUCUGCCUCGUGAUCAUCGACAGGGAGAGAGAGAGAGUGAGCUGCAAUCAGCAAGCCAUGAGGACGAGAGGAAACCAGAGAAAGGGUGGAGUGAGUUGCGGCCUUGAGCUGUCCGAGAGAGGGUGAGAGCAAGAGGAGAAACCGCGGCUGCAAAAUUUCCUGGUUCUGUCCGAAAGCUAGAGUGAAGCCAGGGAGAAACCGUGAGCAAGUUUCACCAUUCUGCACUUCCAUUUCUACCAGCUGCAAUCAAGUUUCCCAGCCGCAACCACCACCAGUUCCAUCAUCUGCCACAGCCCAAGUAAACCUGUAUUUCAGCCGUGCGUGAGAGCCGAGAGGAAGAAAAAUUUUCAGACUUUCUGUGCAAGAGCUUAGCUUGCUGUGAGGUAAUUUCUGGACUUUUUAGGUUGAUUACUAGUGGAGGAAACUAUAUGCGAGUUGCAUGUGAGGCUUGUACAGUUGGUGGAUAGAAAUCAAGCCAUUAGGAAAUUUCUGUUUUGGCUAAGUGUUGCUGCCGAGAAACUGAUGAGAGAACGCAGCUGUAUUUCUGUUUUUCUAGGACAAUCUGAGCACCUAAGUGUACUUAGCCGAAUGAAAUUGUGAUGAUUAAGACCAUGCAUGUUAAAUUGUGCAUUCGGAUGAUGUUAUGAAGCAUGCAGAAAUUCUGUUUUGGCUAAAUGUCUCUGCCGAUGAACUAAUUUGGGACAUGUAAUUUUAAUUCUGACUCCAUGUGAUAAUCUGAGCUUAAUUGAGGAUCCAAUUUGAUAGAUAACCUUUUUAUUUGGUGUUGCAUGUGAACCUUAUGGCCAGGAAUCUGAUUGCAUGGCUGGAAUUUUUUUAUUAGAAGUUGUUGGACUGCUAAACACUUUUCCAGCUUAGUCGAUGGAGUUGUUUUGGGAGUUGUAUGGGUAUUUUAGAAUGAGAUUUGCUGGAAAGUGUUUGAUUCUCACUGGGUUGUGUGUUUAGCUAACUAAAUGCUGGAUGAUUAAGCCCUGCAUGAGAUUAAUUAGCUGUGUGUAAACCAGAAAUUUGAAUGAAACAAAAAAAAAAAAUCUGCUGCAUGCAUGUCAUCCGUAAAUAGUUGAACAAAUUCUGGAAUUUUGGAUACAUUUUGUUGGUGACCGACCCUGUUUUGAACUGGAAUUGAUAAUGACUUCAUUUAUUAGUCUUGCAUGUUAGUUUUGGGUACAUAAUUUAGUGUUUCAGCCGAGGAAAUUCGGUUUAAAGAUGGACUAAAGCUGCUGGAAUUUUUCCAGUGUAGCCGAGUGAAGAAGAAAAGAAUUUUCCAGUUUGUUUUUGCGAAUUCUGGGUUCUUAUUCAUGUUUGGGGGGCAAAUUCCUUGUAUUUGGUCUGUAAAUGACAAAUUGGUAGAACUGAUUUGAGUGUUUGCAUGCAAAGAUGGCUGAGCUAAGAUAAAAGGAGUAAAAAGCUGCUGCAUCUUUUUGUCUUUUUGUUUUCUUUUCCAUGGCUGUUUAAGGGACCCUUACGUUUAAAUUGCUUGUUAAAUCUGGUUUUAAGGAGAAGGAAUGGAAUGAUUUGAUGUUAAGUUUACGUUUGAGUCCUUAAAACACUUGAGCUAUGAUUAAACACCAUGCUGAAAAAUAUUUGAUCACGGUUGUGAUUAAGAAGCUUGAGCUUGAGAAGAAAGUGCAGCAGUCUUCGGUUGCUAGAGUAUGUGAAGUAAUUGCAGAAACUUGUUUCAUGGCUAUUGCAUAGAACUUGCAUGUUUUUUUCCUUCUAAGUUUUCUACCUGUUGAGGCGAUGGUAAUGACAUAGUUUGCAGCUUAGUUAAAGCUAUGUAUGUGAACUUGAAAUCUGAUUUUUUGGAAAAUAAGAUGUGAGUUUGAGUUGGGUUUCGUUUGAGCAAGCAUGAGAGAAAAUAUUGCAGAAACUCACUUUGAAUUUGAUUUACUUGCUUGUUUGGUUGUUAGAUUCAUGCUUUAAUGUUUUGGUUAGAAGAUUUUUCGAUCAAAAUGGUGUUAAGGUUGAGAAAAUGAAAGUCACGGUUGUCUUCUGGGUUGCCGAAAGCUUUCAGCAGAAAUUUCUGCUGCAGAAUGUUGUUUCUCAUGUUGAUUUUCACGUAGCUUGCAUGAAAACUGCAUGAAUUAAUUUCUGAAAAUUGCACUUUGAUCCCCAAGUCUCCCCUUGUUCCACUAUGGCCCAAUUACAUUCCAUGUUCUUGCAAUUAGGUCCUAAGAUAUUUGCAUUUGAAUCAUUAUUUGCCUUUUCUUUUGCCCUUGAACCCUGGAAGUUCCUAAAAGUGUUUGUUUAAGCUUGAAUGCUUGGCUAGUGUUCAUAAUUGAAUCUUUGAUAACAUUAAUGUUUCAAUUCAAUUACUUGCUUGACUUCAUUGGUUACCAUGUUUUGCUAAGGUGAUACUUAAGGCAAGAGUUUAAGAACUUUGUGUUCAAAUGAGCUUGUGUUCGCCUUUCUUUUUGAAUUUUCUGAAAUAAUUUGGCUUUGGCCUUUUCUUGCUCUUGGAAUUUCAAAGUUUCUAAGAUGUUCCCAUUGGCUUUGAAUGGUUGAUUAAUUUCUUGCAAUUGAGUCCUAAAGUAUUUGCAAUCUGAACCAUGACUUGACUUUUUCAUCACUCUUGAACCUUUAAAGUUCUUAAAUGUUCUAAUUGGGCUCACAUGAUUGAUUAAUGUUUGCAAUUGGAUCCCUUUUACAUGAUAAUUCGCUUCGGUAUGUUUUUACGUGAAUUGUGGACAAAUUUCAAUGGAUAAUUCCCAAUGUCAUGAAAGCUUAAUAAUCUUGGAAGAAUUCAUAGUCUUGGUUUCAUUUGAUUCAGUUUUUCUUAGAUAAUUUUGUUAUUUAAUCACAAUAAAUAAUUUCUGUGAUAGUUUUUCUCUUUUUGUGAUUUUUGCAUUUGAUUGUGAUGGAUUCCAUCGUAAGCAUUUCAAUUUAGCACUCCACUUUAGAUUCUUGAGACCUUUUAUUUAAGACCGAGUUUUGCUUGCAUGUGCAUGAUCUAUUCCAUAUUUAAUUUUCGUUUCAUGCUUAAUUUCCACUUUUGUGUUUAAUGGUUGUUUCAUGUGAUUAUUUGAUAAUUAAAGUGGUACCUUGACCUUUUUAUUAUUUUGGAGGGUAAUUUAAUAAUUUCACUUCAUUAGAGCAUCGAUUCAAGGGAGGUACAUUCUAUCCCUUAUUUGCACUUCAUUUGACCCUACGUGCUCCUACGUGUUAUGUGAAUAUGCAUGUCUAUUUCGCUUUCCUUGCCUUUCCUUAAUUCCUUGCAUUUAUUUCAUUUAUUUUUACUUUUAUUUAAGUUGUUCUUUAUGGGGUAUGUGUACACCUCUUAGCUUGUAAUAGAUAGGGCUUGGAGAAGCAUUUGAUGAAGACCUAUUGAAGACGUGUGCCUAGCUAGCAAAUGUAAUAGAUUUAUUAGUUUGGUUGCUUACCUUUGUUGCUACAUGUUAAUUUGCUUUAUUAGGCCCUUGCAUCUAGUCGAGCAUGCUAAAUGUUAUGUGCUAUGUGUUUACGAACGUUUGGCAUGUCUACUAGCUUUCUGUAGUGUAGAUGAAUGGAAUGGAUGAAUGUACGUUUCCACUAGUCCAACGCUAGUCGGAAUUCAUAGAAUGGGCUAGUCCAACGCUAGACCCUUAGGGAUUUCCCCUCGUUAGUACAUGUUUGUAUGUUCAUUACAUGUCAUGCAUUCUUUUUAGUUUUGUCAUUUUUUGCAUGCCCCCGAUUCCCUUUCCCUUCAUUUUAGGCCUUUGCAUUUCAUGCUAGUUAUAGGGUCCAUUUGCCUGAGAAACCCCCUUGGGUAAGGGAAACGAGCGAGUGUGGCUUCAAAAUAGCCUUAGCACGCUAGUUUUUCCUUCUAAUCAAAGGGAAAAUUAAAAUCACAAAAACUAGAUGUCAUUCCCGUACCCGACCUGAUGCAUUCCUCUAAGUUCAUGCAUUUUCAUAUCAUUUUCUCACUAUUUUCCUCACUAAUUAUAUAUUUUAAAUCCACAUGUCAUAUUCACACACUUAUUCACUUUCUUUACUUUUCACUUCACACAUUGCACCUAUUUUACUUAUAUAUUUACUAUUUUCAUUCACUUGCACACGAGCAUUUAUAUUUCAUUCAUUUGCACACAAACACUUUCAAAUUGCACACAUGCACUUUUUUCUACACUUUGCACACUUACACUCUCAUUUGAGUCCUCAUUUGCAUCAUUCAUGAUUUUCUAUGAGGACUUUCCUUAUUGGCCGUCACGACUCGUGUGAAUGGGACCAAAAGCCUCAUAAGAGACAUUUCUUAGAUUUAGGAUUACAUUUCUCAUUCAUUAGUCAAAUCCAAUUUGCAAUACAUACUUUGGGUAGAAAAUAUAGGAAAAUAAGGGUUAAAUCACGCAACUAGCCUUGGUUAGGUCGAAGGGGUGCCUUGGAUUUUUAUCCUUGCCUUCCCCUUCGUCAAAUGUGACUCCCGAACCUUUUUCUUUGUUUUACGUGGACUAGGAGUCGUUUAAAAAGGGUUUUCUUACUUUUUUCUUUAAAAAUUUCAUUUUUUGGGUGACUUGGUACACCCUAACUCUAUACCAAGUGGCGACUCCAUUUUUCAUAUAAAAACCCUUUUUGAACUAUUUUUCUUGGGUCAAAUCGUCGCAUUUUCAAAAGUCCCAUUUAGACCCAUUUUUGUUUUUAUCAACAAAAUUCAUUUUUCCCAAAUCAAUAAAAUUCAACAAAAAACAAUUAUUUUAUUUUUUCCAAAAAAGUGGGGCGCGACAUAUAAGUUCAUCUUAAAGUAUAGAGAUAUGAAAUAAUCACUUACUUGAUAACCAGGAUAACUUCAAAUUCAUCUCUCGGUCCUUGAAUCUUCUCCUAAACCAAACAAAUUCAAUUUGUAAGAUACCUUUGGUAAACCUAAGAUGUGAUUCAGUGCAAGAUUAGCUAAUCAAAUAACCAACUCCACAUACGGCAGCCUACUUAGAUUUUCAGCACCGAUAAUGCUCAGUUGAACUACCAUAACUUAAGUUAUAUAUCUUUUUUAAAAAAGUUACAAAAAUUCGCGCUAUUAGAAACUAAACUUGAAGUGCUAAAAAUCUUUUUAAAAAAAAAACACUCGGAAAUAGUCACAAGUCAAUAUAGUUUUGAAUCCUAAGCUGUGCAAGUCGGAUUUUUAGCCAACUUUGCAAAUUUUUUGGCAUCAAUAGGCAGCAAACUAGAGAUUGAAUUUUAUACCGUUGAAAAGAUCAACAAAUAUAGCUUCCAACGCAAUUGAUGACACUGAAUUUUUGACAUUCCUGCACCUAGGUAUGAUCGAUUUCUCACAACUGCGCAAGGGUGCCUAUUAGUUACAAAAUUGAUUAAACUCAACUCUUCUUAGCUACAAUUUGUCCAGAAUACCUUCACUUUGCAUCCCAAAUCUUUGGCUAUAGAUUCAACAGCAAGAGAUAUAAGAAACACCAAAACCUUCUUCUUAAUCUUACAAAUUAAACUCAUGAAAUUUUAAAUUACGAAUUUCUUACCUAAAAUCACCUUAAGGAGCUUGAAUUUGAUGAUUCCCUUCUGUGCUCUAAGUCUCUCCUAAAGGUCUCUGUUUCUAGUUGUUCAACUAUGACGGUAGAAGUAACAAUAGCAGCAAGCAACCAGUGGUUAGAUAUACAUGGACUUUUUGCACUUUGAGCCUUCAAUUAUUCUUAAAAUUUCUAACCACACCCUAAGUAAUUUAAAUUUUAAAUUACUUAGGUAUUGGGGACUUAGGUAUUACACAAGCAAAACAAGAACAAAUUAUUUUAAACAUAGACAAAAAACUAUUAUUAAUAAAUUAAUGUCAGUUAUAACUAAAUUCACAAAUGUGCUAAGAUUUGUGGUGCAUUUGAUAAAACUGAAGCUUGAAAACUGAGGUCUGAGAUCCAAAAUCUGAAGUUUAAAUCCAUUAAAUUAUUGAAUUAUUAAGUACUAAAUCUAAUACAUUUGAGUGUAUAUCACAUUAAGUGAUAAGUGAAUAGCGUAUAACUUAUUUUUAGAAGCAAAUUUUGCUUAGAAAAUUCAAUACCACUUAAUUAAUUCAGAUGUUCAAUAUUUUGUUAUCAAACGCAUAUGAACAUAUUAAGAUCUGAAUUCAUUAAGUUUAAGUGUUGAAUUGGAUUAUCAAAUAAGACUUUGGUGAUGUAGGAAGAUGAUAUACAAAGAUGAACUUGACAUUCUUUUUUUUUUUUUCAAAUUUUUCCAGAGGGAUGAGUUUUAAAAAAUGGAGAGAAAAGCAAGAUUUAAAACCAGGACAUUCUUUAAUUAUUAUGGUUUUGAGAAAGAAUAGGCACAAAACCAACAAGACUUGGUUGUGAGAGUCAUUGUGCAAAUUGGAGAAGUUAAACAAUGAACUCUUCAAAAAGAAAACAUUUUCAAGAAGUGGCAGCCUAUACUUUUGUGAAAAAAUUUCAUAAGAGAAGCUUGCUACAUGCUCACUUUUGCUUAAUCUUGAAGCCUUAGUAUAAAAUAUUCAAACGAAUAUGAUAAAAUUAUAAGCUAAUGUUCUAGAUAAAGACCUUGUUGUUACUGGAUUUCAAAACCUGAUUUUAGAUUUUGAUUUUGAUUUUGAUUUUGGCAAAGCUAAUUUUUUUUAUUCUCAACUAUAAAAAUGAAUAAAAGAAAAAACCAAAAAAAAAUCUCCAAACCUCUCUCUUUCUCUUUUUCUAUUGUUUUGACUUUUGGUUUGUGUAUUCCUUCAAACAAGCACCUUUGAUAAAAUUGAAAUCUGAAAUCUAAAUCUAUUAAUUUAUUGAAUUGUUAAGUAUUAAAUCAAAUGCAUUUAAGUGUAUAUUAUAUUUAGUAAUAAGUGAAUAGCUUAUCACUUAUUUUUGAACGCAAAUUUUGCCUAGAAAAUUCAAUGUCACUUAAUUAAUUUAAAUGUCCAAUUUUUUAUUAUCAAACACAUUUGAACAUAUUAAGAUCUAAAUCCAUUAAAUUUAAGUGCUGAAUUGAGUUAUCAAACAGGGCCUAAGACAUGUUUUUUAUCAUCAAAUCCAAUCAUGAGCCAAUCCAAUUUUUCAAAUCCACAAAAUUUAUUCAAAUUUCAGAAGAACUAAAAAAUAAAUUAAGAAAGUUAAAAGAACACAGGAAAUAGAUGUCACAUUCUCACGUGUUGAAUUAAGACCUACCACUACUAAGUUGCAGCCCUGAUGACUUUUGAGUUUUGAUGUUAUUUUUCUUUUUCUGUGUCUAAUUGUAUUGGGAUCAGGUGUUCGACAAAAGAAUCUCUGUAUUUCGGAUGGAAAGUGAAAAUUCCAUCUCCCUUACUCAUCUUUUUUUUUUUUUUUUUUUAUUAUUUUAUAAAAAUUUCGGCAGAGUUUCCCCUUAAAAAAGGACGAAACUCCCUGCCAUCAAACCACAAUUUGACAAUAAAUUUACAAGCUAGUGAAAGUUUAAGCAUUUAAAAACUGAAAUUAAGAUUAAAUCUUCAUUUUUCCAUAUCAGGAUGUCUUCCAGUGAAUCUGAAGGAUGAUCUUUGAAGAUUUUAGCAGUCAAUCUUCCUCCCUUGAUGUCCUUCUAACCGCCAUUUUCACCUUCAUUGGCCUUUUCUGCUUCUUAUUCCAAUUCAUGCCAGACACCGUGUACGAAACGUAGGAAAUCCUAAUCGAUCUAAUCUAAUAGCCCCCCUAACCAAUUGCGGCAAUUCUGAGAAUGUAUUAAACACAUGACCUGCACUAGAAUCAGCACCAAAAUUUGCCAAAUGAUCUGCAGGUGCGUUUGCUUCCCUGUAGCAGUGUGUGAUCGAUGUGAAAUAUUGCUUGAACAUCAUCAACUCAUCCAGAUCUCUCUGUAAACGCCAAGGACAAGCACUAGUCCCUUGAACAAUGUGACAAGCACUAAUCUCCCUUACUCAUCUGAUUCCUCAGUUAACUUCUUUUUCUUUUUCUUUUUUUUUUUUGGGUUUUCUACUUCCCUUUUCCUUUUCUUCUAUCUUUGGGCUACUAAAUUUAUUUAGGCGUGGCUGUGGUGGUCUUUGGAGGAGUUUGGGGAGGCUUCAUGGUGGUUGUCGGACAGUUGUUUGGUGGUGAAGUUGAAAAAGAUGGUGGAAGAAUUUUCUUUUUUUCGAUUAAUUAGUUCACAUCAGUACUUGAGCGUAUUAUUUUUUUCUACUUUUUUUUAAUUUAGUUAAUGGAGAGGUGAUCAAAUUGUGGAAAUAUCGGAAACUAUUUAUACAAUAAUAAAAGGAGAGAGAUGACGGUUAGGUUAAACAUUUUGUAUCAUUUUGUAUCAUUUUUAAUUUUUCCCUUAAAAAAUUAAUUUUUAUCCUACUGCCUAGUCACAUUUGCUAAUAUAUCUUUCAUAAUUCCCUUAAAUAUUGCAACUAUCAAAUUAACUGUAAUUGUAUUAGAGAAAAAAAACUAAUAAAUUGCAAUUAUUUUCAUGAAGAAUUUAUAUAAAAUUUAAUUUUGUAAAAACAAAAUUAAUAUAUUCAUAAAAGUUAAUAAUUAUUUCUAAACUGCACACACAUUGGGUCUGCCUCCAACACUAGUUUUGCUAUAUAUACAGUUUGAGCAGGGUUUGGUGUAAAAAAAAGUGCCAUUAUUUGUUUUGUCAAAUAUACCCUUCCAAUAUUUACUAUUAUCUACCCACAUCUAAAUCUGUUGAACUUCCCACCCCUACAUAACUACCAGUAUAAUAAACACACACAAACAUAGAUUCAUAUCACCCUUUUUAGCCUAAAAAGACUUUCAAUGAAGUAAUAACUACUAACAAUUUCCUAUCCAAAAAAAAUGAAAAAAAGAUGAAAAACACAAAUUUUCCAUCCAUAUUUCUAAAACAAAACCUCCAACAACUAUUAAAAAUUUUAAUAUAUUUUAAAAAAAAUUUCCUUUUAAAAUUUUCUGUCAUUUCAUAGAUUUCCUAUACCCUUCAUGUUUUAAACUUUUUAUGACCCACUUGUCCUUCUUUCUCUCAUCCACUUUCUUUUCUUUCUCUCAAUGAUAUCUCUACAAUAAUAAAGCGGGAACAGGUAAUUUGAUGUAAUCAGUUAUCACUUUUUAGAAUUCCUCUUUACCCUUCAAAUAUCUUCUCACCAACUAACAUCAUACAACCAAUGAAAUACAUGUUUAUUACUUAAACAUAACUGCUUAUAGAUAAUUGCUUGAUUUAAUUUUUUGUUUGAUUUUUAAGAUUUUGUUUGUAUUAACUUUUUUAAUUUACUACUACUAGAUUUUAUUGUCAAAUAAUGAAUCUAUAUUCAUUAGUUUAACAGAAGAUUUUUUUAAUCACUAGCAUACACAUCGAGUGUGUCAAUCACUAGUCUUACUAUAUAUAAAGUGUUGGUGAAAACAAAUUGUGUCAUUUAAUGUAUUGCCUAAUCUAUCUUAUUUCUAAAGAGAAUUACAUCAUUUUAACUACCCACCUCCCAACAAUUACUCCAUGCGUGUUGAAUUAACCACCACUUUCCUAACAAAAAACUACUCUUUUUUUAAAAUGGGUAUAAUAGUUUAACUAUUAUUUUUCAACAAAAAAUAAUACUAAUUGCUUUUGAUAUCUUUUUAUUAGUAACACACACAUUGGAUUUGCCUUAACCACUAGUAUAUAUAAAGGGAGAGUAAGGGGUUUGGAGUAAAUAUUUAGGGAUAAUUGCAUAAACCUCCCCUGAGGUUUCUGACAUUUGCACUGACCUCCCUUGUGGUUUGAAAAAUUACACUGACCUCCCCUGAGGUUACUAAUCCUUUGCAAAUUUAGUCCAAACGAUUAAAAUAUUAUUUUAGGGAGUGAAAUUAGAAUUUUGUACCAGAUUUGCCCUUUGUGCUACAUGUCCAAUGAAUGACAAAGUACUAUAAAUCAAUUAACAAUUAAUAAACUUUAAGGAGUAUAAUUUAUGAGUAAACACGCAUUACUCAUUUAAAAUACCGACUCUUUACGGGUAUUUUACUUUUAAACAUUUAAUUUGUGAUAAAUAUAUCAAUAUUUGUAAGUAAAAUUCAAAAAGUAUUACAGUAAUAUUCUUGCAAAAAGGAAAUCGGUAGGUUAUUUAUUUAAUAUAAAUUAAAUAUUUUUUUUAAAAAAAGAAAUGACCCAUAAAGUAUUAAUUUUUUAUGGUUUUCAUCCAUUACAUGAGUAAAGUAUUCGCUCUUUAUGUGCAUUUUAUUCAUUUAAUUUAUGUUAAAUAUAUAAAUGUUUGUAACUAAAAUUGAAAAAGUGUUAUAUUAAUAUUUUUACAGAAGAGAGAUUGGUAGGUUUUGUAUUUAACAAAAAUUAAAUAUUUGAAAGUAAAUACAAAUCUGAAUUUGAGCGUAAAUAUUUGUAUUAAAUUAAAUAUUUGAAAGUAAAAUACCCGUAAAGAACCGGUAUUUUAAAUAGUUACCGGUUCUUUAUGGGCAAACAAGCAUUACUUAUUUAAAGUACCGGCUUUUUACGGGUAUUUUACUUUCAAACAUUUAAUUUAUGAUAAAUAUAUCAAUGUUUGUAAGUAAAAUUCAAAAAGUGUUACAGUAAUAUUCUUGCAAAAAGGAAAUCGGUAGGUUAUUUAUUUAAUAUAAAUUAAAUAUUUAAAAAAAGAAAUGGCCCAUAAAGUAUUAAUUCUUUAUGACUUUCAUCUAUUACAUGAGUAAAUUAUUGGCUCUUUAUGGGCAUUUUAUUCUGAAUCAUUUAAUUUAUGUUAAAUACAUAAAUAUUUGUAACUAAAAUUGAAAAAGUGUUAUAUUAAUAUUUUUACGGAAGAGAGAUUUGUAGUUUUUGUAUUUAACAAAAAUUAAAUAUUUGAAAGUAAAUAUAAAUCUGUAUUUGAGCGUAAAUAUUUGUAUUAAAUUAAAUGUUUGAAAGUAAAAUACCCAUAAAGAGCCGGUACUUUAAAUAGGUAAUGUGUAUUUGCCUAUAAACUAUACUCCUUAAAGUUUAUUAAUUGUUAAUUGAUUUGUAGUACUUUGUCAUUCAUUGGAUAUGUAGUACAAAGGACAAAUUUGGUAAAAAAAAUUCUAAUUUCACUCCCUAAAACAAUAUUUUAAUCGUUUGGACUGAAUUUGCAAAGGAUUAGUAACCUCAGGGGAGGUCAGUGUAAUUUUUCAAACCACAGGGGAGGUCAGUGCACAUGUCAGAAACCUCAGGGGAGGUUUCUGCAAUUAUCCCAAAUAUUUAUUGUCACUUUACGAACUUCCUUUUUUGCCCUUAUAAAAAUUAUUCUUACUUUAAAUACCUACACAUAUGUUGUCAAGAUAACUCCUCAUGACUAAUUUUUAUUUUUAACUAUUUAAAUAUAUGUUUUCAACAUAACUAACCCUAAACAUUACAACUACCAAUAUAGGAUUAUUGUAUGAAAAAAAUUUGAAAGAUUAAAGUUUCUUUUAGUAAUAAAAAUUUUAUAUAAAAUAUAUGGCCAUAAAUAUUGUGUAUUUUUUGAUUGUACACGCAUUGAAUGUACAUAAAGCAUUGGUAUACAUAUAGCAAGAGCGAGGAGUUGGUGUAAACUUUUUGUAUGACUUUAUGUUCUUCUUAAAUUGCCCUUGAUAACUAUACACUUUCAACUUCCAAUAUAUCCUUCUUCCGACUAAUAUGUAUAUCUUAUUAUUUUAUUUCUCAAUUUAUUUAGUAAAUAUUAAUUUUUAUCAGCAACUAUCAAUCGCGAUUAUGAAUUACUACUAAAAUUAAUAAAUUAUUUGUUUAUAUAUAUUUUAUUUUAGUGAAUUUUCUAUAUAUUUACUAUUACAACAUAAAAUUAAUUCUCUUGAAAAUGAUUUCAAAUGUAGUCAAAAAAUUUGACACAAAUUUCUUUUAUUAGUUGCAUGCACAUUCGUGUGUAUCUUGAACAUUGGUUGGCAAUAUGGUUAAUUGUACUAAAUACGCUCAAAUUGGAAAUAUUGGGGACCGGAUAUUUAAAAAAGAAAAAAAACUUAAGGAUGACAAGCUCACAUUUGGCGAAUCAAAAGCGCACAUGUGAUGUGACCAACUUUCAAGACCAAAACUGCAUUUUUCCGUGAUAGAAAUUGUUGAAAAAAAAAACACUAAGAUGACUUAUUCCCUAAAAGAGUCCAUCUAAAAAAAAAAAAAACUCCAAAAUCACGACAUUCUUAGAUACAAACAUGAAAAUCCUUACAAUCAAUAACUUGGGUUAUUCAUUAAUUUGUUUCUAUGUUAUACAUUGUUUAGUAUAGGAUUUUCCUUCCCGAGUUAAAAACUCCUUUUUGCGUGUAAACUAAAAACAAAAUGGGCGAAAACUGAUAUCCAAUGUACCAAAUCACUAAUUUUCAACGUGGAAAGGGAAAUGGAGGGCCUGGGCUUUGUUAAUUUUUUAGUAAAGGGCUAAUGAAAAGGUAAUUAGUCCGUGUGCAGGAGAUACAGCCAAAGCCAAUCAUAUUGCUAACCAAAAAACAAAGCAAGACAGAAAGGUUGAAAAAUAACAAGUACUGAUACAGUGCUAAUGAUGCAGAUAAGAGAUUGAAUUCCCAAUCUCAACUACCACAAAAUUGAAUAAUUCCCAACAUGUGGGCGAACCUUUGCAUUUUAAAGUCUUCCACCAACAGAACAAAGACAAAAUAACAGUCUUGCAAAUUGCAACGAGAAAGUGAGAAACGAAGAAAGAGCCUCGCCUACAAUACUUGACUAUUUUCAAAUAAUGAGAAAGUUAACCUCGAACAAAAUUCGUUCAAGAUCCAAAUUUGAUCUCAGAGUGAAUAGAUUAGAAGACACAAUAAUGGACAUAUCCUCCAGUAGUAGCACUAGUUGCUUUGAUUCCUCUCUAGAUUAUCUGGGCUGGUUGGACAAGGCCUUCCAAUAUAAGUUCCAUUCUGAUCUAAAGAUUUGGGACCUGAAGAUCGGGUUGACAUAUUACAAAGCUUUGACCUGUAUCUGAGAAACUCUAGGAGGAGGAGGAACCAUGAGACCUGUUCGGAACAAGAUGUGGAGGAGAAGGAUGUUACUUCUUUCAGAAUUCAGAACCUGAUUAUCAGAAGAAUGCAAGAUCUUGAAUUUGCCUGCAGCAAAUUAUUUAUUCAUGCUAGUUUACCAGGUAUACUUAAGAUGAAAGGAGAGCUCACCAUAUUCCGGAAAGAAAUCAAGUUGUUUUUCAAGACAGAUAUCAACGAAUCGUGUAUCAACUUUCUGUUGGACUAUUAUUGGCUGAGGGAUCCAGGACUAGUUAUUGAUUUCAUUGAUUUGGUUUCAAAGAUUCUGAUGGAACUUCUCCUCAAAAGUCAGAUAUCCCAUUUCAAGACCCUUGAAGAGAAGCUAAUGUUCUUGAAUAGUUUCAUUCGCUUUGCCCUGCUACACGGUGUCGACGGUCAGCAAUUGAUAGAUCUCUUGGUUCACGUUGAAGUGGUGGCUAUCAAUGCAUUACGCCUGAUUUGUACACGCUGGUUUGACAGAGAUGAUGAAGAAGUAUGCGAUGAAAUGGGACUUCAAAUUUCUCGACUACUACAUGAGAAGAUUAAUCCCACUCCCAGAGAUGAUGAAGAAGUAUACAAUAAAAUCGGACUUCAAAUUUCUCAACUAAUACGUGAGAAGAUUAAUCCCAGUGAUCCCCAAGUCCGAGAAACUUAUAUCCAUGUCCUGACUGCUUCAAAGUUAUCAAGAUCAUCAGACACUUCAGCUCUAGAGAAAAAUAAGCAUCUAGUAGCUGACUUUAUGGAUUAUCUCAUUCACAAUUUUAUGGAGCUACUAGAAUCUUGUACCAGUAUUUUGGUUCCGAUUAUGAAUCAAAUGCUAAAACUCCAUGAUGGGCUGAGAUUCCUAACAAUCCUUUUCAGGCAUCAGGAGAAGUUCAAAGAGCUACCCCAUGGAAUGAAGACUCUUAUUGGAGUUGUAGUCUGUGAUGCAGCAAUUGUAAUUUUCUCCCUUUCUGUGAGUCAAAUCGAAGAAGGCUUGGCCAAGGAAACCGAUCUUGCUCUUUUUCAUUUGGUCCAAGUGCUCAAGUUUAUUAAGGCAGAAGUAAUCGAUCUGAUAACAUCAAUAUCAGGAUUUGAUUUUCCUAGGACCAAUGAGUUGGGCUCUAUGGAUAUUCUGCUUGAAAAUCUGAAGGAACUACAGAGUUGUAAUGAGGCCGAUGAUUCAAUUGCAUUCCCAUAUGAUCAAAUCCACAGAGUCUUAGAAGAUCUCGUAUUCUUAAGAUCUUUCCUUGGAAAGAUAGUAGACCAGUGCAAUCAGAACAAAAAACUCCAAGCUUUUUGGCGUCGUGUUAUGGAGGUUGCAUAUAAAGCAGAGUUAGUGAUCGACUCGACACCUUUUGGUGAUGAACGUGAAUAUUGUUUCGAUGUUGUUGCUAGAGAUAUCAAUCUUAUGAAGAUUGAGGCCCAAGAGAUCUAUGGUAGCAUGAGCGAUGUUGGUGAAACCAAGAGAGUUACCAAGACUUUCACUCCCAUGCCAUCACAAGUCACUGCAGCCACGUACAAUGAAGAUCUGGUGCUCCUCGACAAUGAGGUGACAACUAUCACUCAUAGACUUACAGGAGGAUCAAGGCAGUUGGAUGUUGUUCCCAUCGUGGGUGUGCCUGGGCUCGGUAAGACCACACUAGCCAAUAUAGUUUAUAGUUCUCCUUCGGUAAUGUUGCACUUCCAAAUUCGUGCUUGGUGCACUGUGUCUCAAGUAUAUAGCCGGCACAACUUGUUAGUUCAGAUAUUGGGUAGUAUUGAUUCUAGGAGCCCAGAACAAUAUCUAAAGGUGGAUGAGGAUGAUUUGGCUGUAAAGCUAAAACAAUUUUUGCUCAGAAAUAGGUAUCUCCUAGUUUUGGAUGAUCUAUGGGACAUUGAGGCAUGGAAUUUGUUGGAAAGAUCAUUGCCUGAUGAUGCCAAUGAAAGCAGGAUUCUUGUCACGAGUAGAUUGCUGAAUUUGCAAUUCAAACCUGGUAGCAAGGCUCACUAUCUCCGGCACCUUACUGAUGAAGAGAGUUGGCAAUUGCUGCAGAAAAAGCUAUUUGGCAACGAAGGUUGUCCCACAAAACUACAUGGAGUUGGAUCUCAAAUAGUAAAAUCUUGUAGGGGCUUACCUCUUACAGUUGUCCUUGCUGCUGGAAUUUUUGCUACUACUGCACAAAAUUUCUGGGAAGAAGUUGCAAAAAGUCUAAGGUCCAGUAUUGUCCUUGACGAAGAAUAUUGCAUGAAGACACUUGAACUAAGUUAUAUUCAUCUACCAGAUGAUUUGAAGCCAUGCCUUCUUUAUUUUGGUGUAUUUCAAGAAGACGAAAAUGUUCCUGUCCGAAGGUUGUUAUGGCUUUGGAUCUCCGAAGGAUUUGUGCGAAAGAAAACUGGAAAGAGCAUAGAGGAUGUGGCAGAUGACUACUUGAAGGCACUGGUUGAUAGAAGUUUAGUCAUGGUUACCAAACAAAGAACUACGAGUGGUGCCAAAGCUUGCCCACUUCAUGAUUUGGUACAUGAGUUUUGUGUAGAAAAAGCCAAAGAGGAAAACUUUCUACACAUUAUUCAUCGUGGGAAAGAUCUUUUUAGUCUUACUGGCCUAAGCAACCCCCACCGAGUUUGUGAUCGAAAUACCAGGAAAUUGAAGAUUCAGCACUCAAUGCUAUUUUUUCCCAAUUUACGCAGUUUGUUGUCGUUUAAAGAGGAUGAGUUGGGAUUUUGGUUGCCUAAACUUCUUAGAGUGUUGGAUUUGAGGAACUUGGUGUUUAAUGCAUAUUUUCCGAUGGAAGUAGUAUUGCUUGUUCACUUGAGAUACUUAGCUCUUCAUAUUCGAGGAAUAAAUUCCAUUUCCAACCCAAUAAAUUCCAUUUCCAUCCCAUUUGCAAUAUCCAACCUCUCAAGGUUACAAACUUUUCUGGUAAGAGGAGACUCAAUAUUCUAUUAUGUGUUACCAAAAACUAUCUGGAACAUUAAGACAUUGAGGCAUCUAUGUAUCACAGGUUUCAAUUAUGGUUUUGUUUUUCCUGUUGACGAUCUUGAAAUAUCCCCAUGUUUAGAUCAUUUAAACACUUUAAAGCUUGCCAUUGAUCCCUCCUCUCAAAGCUUGCAAAAGCUGCUGACAUAUUUACCAAGCAUCCGCAGGCUGAAAUGUAAGAGAUCGGAGAAAUCAAGUGAAGAAUUUACCAGAAUUGACGACAAGAUUCUGGUGUUCGACUGUUUGAGUCAACUAGAAUCACUUAAUCUAUCUUUUUUUGACGGAUACGGAUUUAAAUUCCCAUUGAAUUUGAAGAAGUUGACUCUUUCAUAUAAUCAUCAGCCAUGGAGUGAAAUCUCAACAAUUGGAAAGUUGCCCAAUCUUCAAGUGCUUAAAUUACGCCAUGGCUCCUUUGUUGGGAUUGAAGAAUGGGAAAUGAAAGAAGGAGAGUUCCCUAACCUCCGAGUCUUGAAAUUGAUAGGCGUGGCCUUGCGCAGCUGGACUGCAUCUUCUGAUAGUUUUCUCCAUCUUGAGAAAUUGGUUGUGCAUAAUUGUCCGGGGCUGAAAGAUGUGCCUUCUUGUUUAGGAGAAUGUCUGACUCUUGAAAUGAUUGAGGUGAAAUGGUGAUGAGUCUGUUGUAAGAUCAGUGAAGCAAAUUCAACAAGAGCAGAUGGAUAUGGGAAAUGAUGUUCUAGAGAUCAUAAUUGAAUAUUGUGGUCAUGCAUGAAGUUCCUCAGAAGGAGGAGCAGAAGAAGUCUCUCAGAAACACAGCCAAUUCCCUCGUAAGGAGUCUAAUUCAUGUUUCUUGAAAGCAAUUUCUGGAGCUUCCCCAUUCUUUUUUAAUCACUCAUUAAUCAGUCCAACAAUAUUAUCGUGCACACUCUAUUUAAUGCAGCUACAGAUUGAUUUGCUGCUUAUAACUAGCUGAGUAUGCAAGCUGCAUUUUUCUCUUCCGUCUUUGUAUUUCAGUCAGGGUAGUACAGAAAGUUUUAACUUGCUUCUGUUUUUCCUCAACAAGAACCAUACACCCAAUUGAUUGAUAUGUUAAAACAUACAAUAGUUUCUUUCUUUUUUCUUGCAACAAAUAUUAGGAGGAGAUAAAUCAAAAUAAAAAUAAAAAUUUGGUUAUGUUACUUUUCAAUAGAGAAAGGGCAUAGGAAAAGAAUGGUAAAAAUUGCCUCAAAUAGUUGUCUUGUACAAUUUUUGUAUUAUUGUUAUAUGCAGCCCAUUUUCAUUGGCAUAGAUCUAGAAAUAGCUUUAGAUAUCAAGCCAAAGGAAAAAAAAAAAAAGUUUUCUGAAAACUUGUGCAACAGUAAUCUUUAUAAGGGUUUUUCUUUCUUCUUUUUCAGGGUUAAUUCCACUUUGUCCCCCCAAACUUUGGACGAUUACCCACUUAACUCUCUAAACUUUAAAAUGAGACACUUAAGUUCCUAAACUUAUAAAUACCUCCCACUUAAGGAAAAUUGUUAACAAAUCCUGAAUGCCGUUGGUGGUCGAAGUGUCCCAUUUUAUAAGGGUUUAGGGAUUUAAGUGUCCCGUUUUAUAAGUUCAGGUACUUAAGUGGGAGGUAUUUAUAAGUUUAGGAACUUAAGUGUCCCAUUUUGAAGUUUAGGAAAUUAAGUGGGUAAUCGUCCAAAGUUUAGGAGGACAAAGUGGAAUUAACCCUUAUUUUCAAGUACAAACUCUGUAUCUUCAAACUAGCGGUACUUUACGAAGCCUAAAGAAAGUAAUAAAUAUUCUAAUACUUUUUCUUUGCUAUUUCAUCUCUUAUUUCCCAUCCUAAGUGAUUAAGAGUUCAAACUGAUCAAAAUGAAAAAUCAAAGAAACAAGAUGACAAUUUUGUUGAGCAAUUCUUUAUUCAGUUGUCUCGCUCUACAACUGUUCCUUUCUCCAAAGAAAUCAAAUUAGAAUAUUUUGAGAUGGAAACAGGUUGAUUGCAAUAAAGAUCACCAGUUUUUGCAUAAAGGAUUUCAUUAAAAUUUAGGGAGAAUUGUAGUUUUAGUCCCCAAUGUAUUAUUCAUGCACGGAACUGGUCCUCAAUCUAUUUUAAAAAGUAAAUUUGGUCCCUAAUCUAUCCAAUUUUGUGUAAAAGUGGACAAUUGACAGAUUCCUUCCAGUUGAGUAACGGAAUGUGGCGCAUGCACUCACUGCACCAGCAGGUGCAAGUGGUUUCAAUGUUUGUAAAUCAAGAAACUAUUUAAAAAUUCAAAAUCUAUCCUCUCUUUUUUUCUUCUUUUCAUUUUUUCACAUCUCUGUUCUUUUCUAUCCUUGGACAAAAUGUGAACGAUUUUCCAGUAAGCCUUGAAAUGUGGUCGGUAAUUUGACUGGUUUGACGCUAAUCUGAAGAACUGAAGACAGGCGGAGGGGUUGAGCUUCAGUUUUUGGAGGACAACGUCGACGAGUUCAUGGGAGAAUUGGAAAGAAAGGUUCUUGAGGUCUGAAUGGCGUUCGAGAACUAAAAGGCGGCAAACCCGACUGGUGAGUUCGGGUAUUGUCAAGUUGGAGGGUUCUACCCUGGAAGCCCAUUUCAGGAGGGUCGCAGAAGAGUGAAAAGAGCAACGGCGGCAGAGGGGAAGAUGAGAAAAUAAUCUGCAAGAAAUUUGAGCAGUGGCCUGAGUGAGCACCAUUGAUUGGCAUAAAACCAUCAGAAUUUUUAGCAGAAACUGAGAGAAAGAAAUACUUGGAGUUGGUCUGAGUGAGCAGCUUAGCUGGCAGCACCGAUUGAAAAAUAAAAGAGACCACCAAGUGGAUUGUUUACCUUUUGAUUCUUAAGUCCUAUACAUGGUUCAAAGUCGCGGUCGUGGUCACGGUCGCGGCCUGGAACGUUCCACAUCGGUCUCGGCAUAUCGGUCGCGGUCUCGGUGAGACACAAAAUUUUAAAAUAUUUAAUAUUCUAAAAUUUGUAAAAAAUAUGAUAAAUAAAAAUAAUUAAAAAUUAGUAAAAAUAAUAAAAAUUCAAGUUGACUCAGGAUGAUUCGGAGUGAUUCGGUGUGACUCGGCCGUUUCAACCGUUCACGAUGACAUCUCGGCCUGUCACGUAUCUCGGAACGUUUCGAUCGCGGUAUCGUCUCGGAAUGGGGCGAGACGGAGACGACUAGGCCGAGUCGUCUCGGUCUCGGCCGAGUCUUCGAAUCAUGGUCCUAUAAGCAGCGAGAUAAAUGAAUUUAGGAGGAGAAAAUAGCUGCCAAUUAUUAGCUAAGUGCAAGCGGUGAGUGAAUGGAGCAAUAGAAACUGAUAUAUUAAUUGAGCGGUGGCCGAGUGAAGAAGCACGCUUCAACUCUGUUCUUACCAACUAAACACUAGGAGCAAAACUGAAAGAGAGACUUAGCCACACCCCUUCAUCUUAAAACACAACCGAGUGAGAGGAAAAGAGAACAUUCUGGUUUCUCCUUGCUUCCAGCCCGCAACCGAGAGAGUGAGAAAGAGAAAGAUAGACAUUUGCUCGCUUCAUUGCUCCAGCUUGUAACCUCAAAACCGUGAGCCAAAAGUGAGUACGAAGAAGAGGCUGGUGCAGUUUUGGGAACCGAAGCAGGAAACUAAAAAUGCAGUCUGCAAUUUUCCAAACUCUAAAAAGAAAGAAAGAGGUAAAAUGAUUGCAAUAAUUUUUUUUUAUCAGCUGAAGCCCUUGAGUACGUAUAUAGUAUGCUAGAUUCUAGUCAAGGAAAGUAAGUUUGGUUGCGAGAAAUCCUGCUCAGAACUGGUAGCUUGCAGGGACGGAGCCAGAAAUUUAUUUUUGGGGGGGCUGAAGUGUAUUAAAAAUUUUUUUUUGUGACGAAAUAAAUAUAUUUAAUAAGUAAAAUUUAGAAUCAAUAAUUAUAAAAAUAAUAAAAACAUAUAAUUAUACAUACCCAAAAAUUUGUUAUUGAUUAACACUUGAAGUAUUGGUAGUUGUUGCACUCGAAUAACGAAGAGGAGGCAAUUGCAUUCUGCGAGUCUUCAUCCGUUGAAAACGCUGCAAUAUUUGCUCAUUUUCAAUUGUUGCAAAAAUAUCCUUCUCGAUGUAUACAACCAGACAGUCAUUCAUCCACUCGUCUCCCAUUUUGUUGCGCAAAUCAGUCUUGACAAUAUUCAUUGCAGAAAAUACUCUUUCAACAGAAGCAGUCGCAACUGGUAGAACUAAUGCCAACUGGAUCAGACGAUAAACCAAUGGAAAAACUGUAUUUUUACCAGUUUUAACCAUUUGUUGAGCAAGACUUCCCAAAUCUCCAACUUCUGAAAAUUGAGGAUCGCGUUGCACAUUAUAAAUAUAAUUUCGAAGUUGAGACUCAAGAUAUAAAUAAUCGUUACUUGAGAAGUCUUCAGGAUAUAAAUCAGCAAGACGGAGUAGUUUCUGCACAUUGAAUUGAGAGAAAGAACUUUUUGGAUCAAGACAUGCUAUGCAACUAAGCAAUUCCGUGCUAACUUCCGAGAAACGAUUAUUCAUCUCUUGUAUAAUUAAAUCAACAACCUGACAUCACAACAAUAAUAAAAUUAAUAACUAAGAAAAUCUGCUAACAAGUAACAAAUGUAAUGAAAUAAUAAUUUCAAAAAUAAUACCUCACAAAAAAUUUCCACGCGAUAAUGAUGAAAAUUAGUGAUGGUUUGACCUCUGCGACUGCGCCUGGCAUUGCCACGGAUUGCUAUACUGUCUUCCAUAUCAAUCACGGGAAUCAUAUUCAACUCACAAAAAUUGUUGACUUCAUCUAAAAUUAUUUGUCAUCCCUCUUCCCUAAAGUCUUGCAAUUGAGAUUUCAUAGUAUCAAUCAAACUCAUGGCUUGGACAAUAUUUUGAUCCCUUUGUUGCAAAACAAGUGACAAGUCAUUUGUGAUUCCCAAUAAAUACUUCAUCAGGUGCAAUGCAAAAACAAACUCAUAAUCAUUCAUUCUAUCAAUCAAACCCCUGGCCAUACCUCUAUUGUCAGAAGUGGAGGCAUCAUCUUGUAUAUUUCCCAAUAUUCCAAUCACCGAAGCCCACAUAGAGGAUAGACGAAGUAAUGUUAGAUAGUGUGAUCCCCAACGAGUAUCCCCUGGUCUUGCUAAACUAGUUUCUUGAUUUUUGCCUUUUCCACUAAUAAUAUCUCCACUGUCUAAAAGUGUAACAAUCUUAUCAUGUUCUAUUUGUCUUAAUUGAUCUCUCCUUUUACAUGAUACUCCAGUUAAAUUGACAAUCAUAGAGACAUAGACAAAGAAUUCACUGACAAUGAUAUUUCCCUUAGCAACAGCAACAAUAACUAACUGGAGUUGGUGAGCAAAACAGUGAAUAUACAUCGCAUAGGGAUUUUCUUGUAAUAUAAGGGCCUUCAAACCAUUGAACUCACCUCGCAUAUUUGAAGCUCCAUCAUAUCCUUGACCUCUCAAUUUGGAUAAUGAUAAUCCGUGUUGCGCGAAUAAAGAAUCAAUUGCAUCUUUCAAACAAAGAGAUGUGGUGUCAGACACAUGUACAAUUGCAAGGAAACGUUCAAUCACACGCCCUUCUUUGUUCACAUAUCUCAAAACAACUCCCAUUUGCUCUUUCACUAAACUGUCUCGAGACUCAUCAACUAUUAGGGAAAAAUAAUUGUCUCCAAUAUCAUUGAUUAUAACACUUGUGAUCUCUGAGGCACAAGCAUGUGCCAGAUCUUUUUGAAUCAUUGGAGAAGUUAGUUGAUUAUUUGCAGGAGCAUUUUGAUUUACAACCUCAAAAAUCUCAGUAUUUCGCUGGCUAUACCACUCAAACAAUUCAAGAAAAUUGCCUCUAUUUGAAGAACUAGUUGACUCAUCAUUUUCACGAAAAGCCAAUCCGUGCUUCAAAAGAAAGCGGGUCACAUCCAGAGCAGCAGUUAAACGGGUGCGAUAUGCAAUAUCUAUUUCGCGCCCACAAGAUCGUAGCACAUUUGACACACUAUGCCUUUGAUCUUGAAAACUUUCAAACUGUAUUCUAGCAUCAUUAUGGCAACUAUUCACAGCUCCAAUAUGUUCAUUAAAUCUUUCCAUUGCCUUUUUCCAAUUAUUGAAUCCCGUUUUUGUAAAGGCAUCCUCUGCAUAUCGACCUCCCUUAUUUUGUGUUUUGAAAAGAAAGCACCAAAAGCAAAACGCCGCAUCUUUCGAUAUGCUAUACUCUAACCAUACAAACUUUUGAUACCAACUAUCUUGGAAACUUCUAUGUUGUUUACCAAAUGAUGUUUUUGGAUACAUAUGGCCAAUCGGUUGGCAAGGUCCCCUAGUCAAAUACUCUCUUCGGACAUGGUCUCGAAGAGAAAUAUCAAAUUUCUCAACUGAUUUUCGUAAUCCCGGAUCACUAACAAUAUCAUUUAAAUUCAAUUCCACACAAGAUUGAUUUUGAACUGGUUCACUAAUAUUAGGCUCAUUUGAAGAUUCACCACUACGGACUCGUUUAGGUUUAAAGAAUCUCUCCAUUUUCUGUCACAAUUAAAUAAUUGUGGUUAAAUUCAAUAAAAUUAUGCAAUUCAAUAAUCAAUUAAUUUAAAAUUCAUAUAAAUAAUUCUUUAAUUUAAUAAUAAAUUCAUAUUACUUAUAUUUCUCAAUUUAUAAAAUUCAUUAUAUAAAAUUAUCAAAAAGUAAAAAUAAGGUACAACUAAAUACCCAUAUAAUCUCUAAUUCAAUCUCAUAAAAUUUUGAAUUUAUAUUUACAUUCAAAAUUUCUAAUUCACAUAAUUAAUUCUUAAAAUUUCAAAUAUAAAACUAACAAAAUUUUAAAAACUAAAUACAACCUAAAAUCUAUACAAUUUCUAAACUAAUUUUUAAUUUAAAUUUAAUAUCAUUAAAUUUUUUAAUGUAAUCUUUCAAAUUCUUAAAUUACAUUAACAUAAACUAAAUAAAAAUUAAUCUUAAUCAAAUUAAUAUCAAGAUACCGAAAAUUCAAAAAUAAUUUAAACAUAUAAUUAACAAAAAUAUAAAGAUGAAUAUUGUAAUUUAAACCAAAAAACUAACCUAAAAGAUUUAUGUGAAUGGAAUGGUGGAGAGUUGGAGUCUUGGAGCCUUGAAUUGAAGGCUUGAAGCAGGAUGGUAGAAUCUCAACUGAAGCUUCUUGGAGUUCUUGGAGCCUGGCGUCUUCUUCUUGGAGUUGGAGUCUUGUUUGCCCUUUGGCACUGGCGGCGUGCUUUUGCAUCAGAUGAAGCCUUAGGGCUUCAUCUGAUGUAUUUUUUUCCCCUCAUUAUACAAAACGACGUCGUUUUGUAUUUAGAGGGCAAAAAAAAAAAAUUCAAAAUGAAAUGGGUCAUCUUCUUCCUCAGCAGUCAGCACGGCAGCGGCUUUCCAGCUCUUCUUCACUUCCUCUACAGCAUUCAUGGAGCCAUGGAGGAUGGUAGAUCUGGAUCACCGUGGGGGGGGCUGGGCUGGCCGCCGGAAUCCCCUAUAUAUAGGGGGUUUUCCGGCGGCUUGGGGGGCGGCUUAAGCCCCCACCAGCCCCCCCUUAAAUCCAUGGCUGGUAGCUUGUUAAAAGAAAAUUCUGCUCUUUAGCUAAGAAAUAGGUACGGAUUGUGCAGGUGCUAUCAAAGAAGGAUGGAAACAAGUAGCUAGGAAUGUAUGAAUAUGUUCACUUUAAGUAGUAAAAGCAGGUUACCGUAGUAACUUGCAAGAAUCUGAACGUGUGCAUGAAAGAAAUCUGGUGCAGGUUGCUUUGCAUAAGAUUUUCCAGCCUUGCACCGGCAUGGGAUUUGAUUAAGUUUCCUCUUGGAAUCUGGUCAUAAACUUCCGUGUUUAGCUUAGGAUAAUCUGUAGUUGAAUAGGUAUCCUUUGCAGGAUCAGCUAGGACAUAAAACAGAAACGGAACUAAUGAGAAAAUAUCAAACGAAAAGGCUGUUGCUGCUACUAGAAAUUAAUGUUGCAGCCGAGAGAAAGAAUUAGGAACCAUUGCAGGUUCUUCAAGAAAUCUGAUUCCAAACCUUUGUAUUGAAGUGUAACUCAGUGUAUAACAUGUUAGUUCCAGCAUGUAUGUUAGAUUAGAAGGGAGAAUUGAAACCACUUGCACGUUCUGGUACAGUGAGUGCACGCGCCACAUUCCGUUACUUAACUGGAAGGAAUCUGUCAAUUGUCCAAUUUUACGCAAAAUUGGAUAAAUUAGGGACUAAAUUUACUUUUUGAAAUAGAUUGAGGACUAGUUCCGUGCAUGGGUAAUACAUUGGGGACUAACACUACAAUUCUCCCUAAAAUUUAUGAUGCACUCCUACCUCACAUGUCAAAAUUCUCUCUUCAAGAAUAUACUUUUUUUUCGGUUAAUGAAAGAGUUUAUAUUUGAGUAAAUCUUAUAUACAUUGUCAGUGUAUACACUAUCACGGUUGAAUGAAUAAUACACGAGCAAAAUUUGAAUUUUAAAUUCAAAUUUUACACAUAUGUUAUAUAGCUAACGGUGAUAAUAUAUACACUGACAGCGUAUACAAGAUUAAUUCUUCAUAUUUUUGUGAACAUAAUCUUUUUAUUUUUAUUUCACAAAUUUCCAUUAUCUACAAUUUGUAUAGAAAAAAUGUAUCAGCCUUUUUAGGAUUGGAUGUAAUCCAAGUCUUUCCACUAUGCAUAUACAAUUUGAAAAUGGACAAGUGGUGACAAAGAGUAACCAUAAUUCACAAAUAAGUGCAUGAUAUGACGCUAUAUGUAGGUUUUAACCUGCUAGCACAGGUUUCACAAGAGACAAAAUUGUGAUAGUAAAUUUGGGGUAAUUAAUAGUAUGUUUUUGCAUAAAACAAGUUUCAAAAUAACUUACUAUUUAAAUAACAAAUAUACUAGAUGUUUAACAACAAAUUAUCACUUUUUCUCUGGAAUUUACCAUUUUUUAUAUAAAACUUACUACUUUUUCAAGCAAACUAAUGAUUUUAUUAACAAAUCUCACCACUUUGUUAAUAAACUGUCCAACAUCAUUAAGAAAUCUUACUCACUUUUAAGCAAAACUUAUGCUCUCCCCCACUUUUUUUCAACAAAACUUACAAUUUUUUCAGGCAAAACUUAUGACUUGACUAACAAAUGAUUGAUCAGAUUUACCUUCCCUAAGGUUUGGUCAAAUUACUAAUCAAGUCUUGAAAUUUGGCCAAAUAACUAUCUAACCCCUGAAUGAGCAAACGUUUAACCAAAUGCUGCCUGACGUCUUCAAGACUUCAACCUUUAGUAAUGUUGUUGAGGUUAGCAAAAAGCUUGUGUGACAGCCCCAAAAUGCCCUUAUGGAGCUCAUUUGUCAUUACAAUAACACACUUUUGCUUAUUACCUUCCAACCAAACAAUAUAUAUUUUUGCUUAUUACACUCCAACAGAAAAAAAUACAUCUUGGCUUCCAUAUAUAUCCUUUCGCAUAAAAAUUAGGAUAAAUCUUUCAUGCAUUAUUAGUGUAUACAAAAGCAGAUCCAGAUACUUGCUCUAUAUGUAAAAUUUGGAGUUCAAAUUGAAAUUGAGAUGAUGUGACAUGUAAUUAGGUCUGUUAGUGCAUACACUGUUCGUGCAUAAAAUAUUGAUCCUAUAAAUUAACUACAAUUUUUUCAAAUUCUUUCAAACUCAAAAUUGGUACUAUUGAAUUAUAUAAAGUAAAAAUAAAAUCAACAAGAAUAUAUUAAUGGUAGCUAAAUAUAACCUUGAAAGAAUAGUAUGAAAAUAAGAAAUUUUAAAAUGCAAAGACUAUGAAAAAGAAAAUUGUGAAAAUCUUUUUAAAAAAAAAAAAAGAAAAAAGAGAAAAUGAUAACACUAACCCAAAAGAAUUCAUCAAAAAAGGCAAAAAGGAAAAGAAAAGAAUGAAACAUAAAGAAAAGACAUGGAUAAAGGAAAUGGCUAAUUACCACAUGAGAAGUUUCUAAAGAAAAGUUUAAGAAAGAAAUAUGUAAAAAUCUUAAAAUGGAUAAAUACCAAAUUUUAGGAAGCAAAGAAAGAAAAUUUAGUACGAAAGAAAAGUAACCAUAUACAAAUGGAGGAAGGAUAUAUUACACCUUCUUCUUUCAAGUAUGCUAUUCUAUCAGAAUGCUAAUUUUAUAUUCCAGUUUCUCCUGUCAGCCGGUUAUGAUGGGUAGAAACUUGGUAACCUAUUUUGAAUAAUAUAUAGAAUGAAAGAAUGAGAGGAUAUACAUGAGGACUAAAGCACAGUGGUGAAAAGUCAUCAAACUCACAAAUGAAUGGCUGCUGUGAUGCCACGUAUUGGAGUUAACUUGUUAUGACAAGUUUACGAAGGACAAAAUUAUGGAUUAACUUUUUAUACAGUUAUAGUGUAUUGAUUUUUUAUACUAGCAAUUUUGGAUAUAUGUCACCUGUGCGUAAUUUAAAUUUUAAAUUUGAAUUCAUGUUGUGUGUCAUGAUUUAAACUUGCUUGUGUAAAAAGAAUUUUACAUUGAUAGUGUAUAAAAAAAUUAUUCCAAAAUUAUAGUGAUAAAUUUAGCACAGCCAGUAGUAAGUUUCACAUUUAUCAAACUUAACUCUUCAAAUAGUAAAUCUUACUAGAUUUCUAGUAAAGACUAUCGCUUUUUUUUUUUAAACUAUAAUUUUUUUUAUAUAAAACUUACUACUUUUGCAAGCAAAAUGUACGACUUCCUUAACAAAUCUUACUAUUUUUUUUUUUUGUAAAUUUAACUACAUCAUCAAUAAAUUUUACUAAUUUUAAAGUAAAUCAAAUCAUUGUGUUAUGCAAAACUUACUAACUUUUCAAGCAAAACGUAGGACUUGAUUAUCAAAUCUUACUAUUUUUUAGAGAUAAUUUCAUAAACUUCCCCUAAGGUUUUCAAAAGCAUCAUUGAGAUCCCAUGAACUUUCCAAAAUCUCACUUGGGUCCUUUUUUUUGGGUAACAGAUCAGUCCGUGUCAGGAAAACUACUAUUAGAAAAUGAAUUUGAGGAGAGAAAGGAUAAUUUCAUGCCAAAAAUGCUCUUAUGUAGUCUUAUGGAUUUAUUACAAAAUGUCAUACAAAAUAAAAUGAUAAGAUACAAAGACAACAAAUGUAUUAGUCUAUCAUACAUAUAUAUAUGAAGAAAUAUUUUAUUUCAUAGUUUAUCAAUAACUGGAAAGUUAUUCCAUUUAUUUCAUAGUUUAUAAAAAAAAUGAAAUUUUAUUCUAUUUCAUAGGAUUUGCUCUUCUUCUGUAAUACGCAUAUACUAUAAAAUAACUCAAAUUUCUAUCUCUAGUUCUAUGAAAAAAACCUUUGAUUUGAUGAAAAUGUAUAGUUUCAAAAUUUUUUAUGCAAUCAAAAUGGAAAAUUUUUGGGUAAAAUAUAGAAAAAACCCCCCCUAUGGUUUGAAAAAUUGACAUGAAACCCCCUCAUUGUUUAGAAACAUCCACUUAACUCCCUAGUGCUUUGGAUUUCUUUGGAUUUUAGCUGCUAACCGGUUGGGAAGCUAGUGAAUGACAUUGACGUGACCUAAUGGUCACUUGUGACUGGAAGAGACUCAUUUAUGAUUUAAUAUACUAGUUUUCGUUCCAAGUUUGCCCUCCAUGUCUCUUACAAAUGAAACCUACCAUAGUUGUAGUUCUGCAAAUGGAAAAAUUGGACAGAGAAUCGCAAAACUAAGACAAAAUCGUAAGAGUGCAGCGCAGCUUUGGAGGGGUAAAAAAGAGCUUUGGAGGGGUAAAAAAAGCUUUAUUCAAGGGAGAAGCCGAAAAUGUCAAGCUCCCAAAACUUUGGCGAUGGAUCGAGGGACCUGAGGUACCAAAACCGAUGAUGUUUCUGCAAGAAUAAAUCAAAGAUUAAGGUAGUGGAAUCUUAAAAACCAUCAAAAGGUAUGUUGUAUUUUGUAUGUGAAAAUGGUGCUUGUUCAUUUUGGGCAUGGUACAAUCCAAUUAGUAGAGAGAGAGGCACUAAUGAAUCAUCCUGCCAAAGUCCAUACGUGGAAGGGAUUUCACCAACUGGAGCUGCAAUGGCAGAAAGAUUUUUCAGGUCUGGGCAAGGGAUAGAAAGUAAUAACUAUAACAUCAUUAUGGGACUAUAGUCUAAGAUUCACAAUGUCGAAGCAAUGAUGGGGCUGCUGAAGAUGAUAAUGAUGAUGGUGUCUGCAGUUGUGUCUCUUAUGUCAUUCGUUGUUAUAUGUAUGAGAUGAAACAAAUUGUAGUGUAAAAGUAGUGUAGUAGAACUUGGCAUUGGGACAAAUUGUAGUGUAAAAAAUGUAUAGAAAACGAGGGAGUUGGGCACAAUACUAGAUUUUGUUAUGUCCAAUAUGUUGCCACAUCCUGGUUUCAAUUGCAUGUAAUGAAGUACACAUUCAAGUUUCAAUUAAGAAAAAUGAAUGAAGCUACUUUUGUUGCAGUACAUUGAAAAAAUACAUGACAAAAAUUGAAAGAUUUGAGAUUUCAUUGUAAUGAACUUGUCAAAUUAAAUCAUCUUUAGCAAAGACAUAACCAGCAAUACUGCCAUCCACAACUACAAAAAUGCAGCAUGUUGCCACAACCAUACCACAAUGGUAUCAAUCUACCAUAACAUGGCUAAAAAUUUUAGUUUUCUAAUUUCAAUAAAUAUUACAAUCAAAUCCCAAAAAGGUUCAUUAGCAAUACUACCACAAAUGCCACAACAAGGCAGCAUAUUGCCACAUCCAUAUCAUAAUGGUAUCAGUCAACCAAAAUAUAGCCAAAAAUAUGAAUUUUCUAGUUAACAUAACCAAUAUAUUCAACCAACAAAAAGGAAAUAAUCGCAGUUCAUUUUUUUUGGUCUCUUGGAGCCACAAUGUCAUAGCCUUGACAUCCUUACAGUUGGUUGCUUCCUGUUUGAGGAUCUACUUUGUUGGCUUUCUUGGUUGGUAUCACUUAUAAGCUAACUUGGUUCCUGUAUAUAAGUCUUCAUGGUUAGUAUGUAAGUAGAUCGCAGCACCCAAAAAAAGGCAAUUGAGAACUAGUACCUAUGAAAGAGUAGUAGCAGUAGUACUUGAGACACUAGCCUGAGCUAUAGAAGCUACAGAUGUUGCAUUUUUUGUUGGACCAACUUUAGAUGCCUAUAGUUCAAAUCGAAAUGAAUGAGUGUAUAAGUAACAACAAAAUAAACUAAAAAAUUGAUUUGGUUCUAAAAUGUUACAUUACUUUGUAAAGUUUGGAUUUAGGGUGAUUGCUGAUUUGCAGGUUCUUCUGUUAAGUUCAGAUUUCAAACGCCUUCGGCAGUAAACUGCAAGACCCUUCCUACUUGCUUUCUACUGAUUUAUAGGCUAUUCUAGACCCUUCUUCCUCUGUGUCUUUGGCCUACCAGGCUGUUUUUUCACCAAUGGUGGGUUCAAAUAUUGCAUUUUGCUAUCCACCUAGAACUAUUUCAAAGGAACGGGACCAAUUGUGAAGUUGUAGGCCCUUAAAUAUGCUUCCCUAUGGUGACAAGCAUCAACAUAUUGCUCGAAUUCCAACUUUCUGCUAUGAAUGCAGGCAACCGCAUGCACGCAUGGAAUGCCACUAAGUUGAAAAUGACCAUAGGUACAUGUUUUCAUCUCCACAUUAACAACAUUUGUCCUUCCAUAGCCAUCAACUUCCAAAUUUUCAUUUCUCCAUAAAUCGCAGCACAAUUUCUUGCAUUUACCUUUAGUUUCUCUAACUUCUCAUGAAUGUUUUGGGCAUAAAGUGCCACCAUGUUUCAGGAUGUCCUCUCAUUUAGUUGCUGACCUUUGCAUUAAUCUCCUCUGAAUCCACUCCAGCAUUGUUAUUAUUGGCUCAUCUCUAGCUUUUAGAAUAUAAUUAUUCCAUGGCUCACUCAUAUUGUUGAUGCACGUGUCACUCCUACAAGCUGUACUGGACCAUAGUUUUGGAGGCAACUGUUUGAACCAUCCUGCAGCUGCUAGCUUGUCACCUUCCUGUGGAUCCGCCCUUUCAAGAUUUGUUAGGGUAGUUUCAUACUCUGAUAUGCUUGCUGCUGCAGCAACUUUCCAAAACAUGCCCCUAUGGUCUUGAUUUUUGAAUCUUUGUUUGAAGUUCCCGAACAUAUGUUUCAGGCAGAAUUUGUGCUCUAAUUCAGGGAACAACUCCUCAAUUACAUGGACAAGGCCCCUUUGUCUAUUCGAAAUGAAAGUGUAAGCCAAGACUGUAAGCAUCCCUACCCAAGACUGUAAGCAGCUAACUUCCAAAGGGACUAUUCAGCAAGCAGCCAUCUAGUCCUAUCAUAGGUCUGCAUCCUUCUAGAAAAUCAUUCUUUAGAGUACCUAAUCCAUAAUAUAUCCUCUGAAAUGUAGCCCUUUUCUCAACAUUUCGCCUAUCAAUUUGUAGUGAAAUAUGACUAUCAUAAUUGGAUAUUUUUACAGUAGCUACAUAAUCCCAAAGUUUAUGGUAUUGUUCCAUGUCAUUUUUCAUAAGUGCCUCUAAUACUUUCGGCUUUGUUGUUACAGCUUUUUUCUAACUAAUGUCUAGCAUAAAUAAUCUGCUUGUCUCUUUCACUAUGGCAAGAAUACUAUACCCAAGAUCAUCUGUCACCUUGACAUAAAAUUUAUUACUUAGAUAUGUUGAAGUGGCAUGUCUAUUGUUGUAAUUCCUGCCACAAUGGUAUUCUCCCUUAAGAGUUUUGAUCAUAAAUAUCUUUGUUCUAUAGAUUCUGCUUGCAUGAAUUCUCCAACUGCACCCUUUUGCACAUUUAGUUGUGAUUUGGAAGCCUUCAUUUUUGAUGUAUUUGUGCUCAUAUCCUUCCCUAAUUUCUCAUUCCACCAAAGCCUCUCUAAAUUUACAGAAGCUAGUAAAUUUAUGGUCAACCUAUAGUUCAAAGUGCUCUUUUCUAAACUCUUCCUCCGCAUUGAAGUAACUGUAAUCAGGAAUGCUAUCAUCAUCAGAUCCUAUCCCUUUGUCAAACAGGUUUUCAUCAUCCUCUACUGGCUCAUUCCAGUUCUCUUCCUGUUCAUUAGCACAACAGCUAUCAUCCACACCUGAUGUUGGUUGACUCCCCACUUCAUGGGUCUGGUUCUUUGUUUGUUUUCUUGAUUUCGAUUACUGAUUUUGUUGUUGCUACUUUGAAUCAAUUUGUUUUUUGAAUUGGGCCUGCUGAUUUUCUUCUUGUUAAUCUAAAUCGACUUAUUUUCUAGUUUUUACUUGCUAAUUUUCUUUUUACUGCUGUGAACCAACUCCAACAAAAUUUGUAGAUUUUAGAUUUAUAGAUACCUGUGUUGAUCAUUAACCUUUUAAACUUAUAAAUAUGUCAUCAUCUUCAGGCCAUUCUAGUGCUUCUCUUAGUCAGUCAGGAAGAUCUGAAUAAUCUAGUUUGACAUCAUCUUCUUCUCUGUCUUCAUGAACUAUUUUUUCUCCCAUAAUAUUAGUUGUUUCUUCUAUUGGAUCUCUCUCAACUGUUGUUUCAUCUACUGAAUUCCUUGUGGGAGACUGUUGGACCUCUGAGGAUGUAUCGACUUUUUCUUUCUCUUUAAAUAACCGCCUGACUGACUUUUUUGCACUUAACUUUACUCUUUGCCGCUUAACUUUUUUAUCAUUUGUUGUUUUCUUCCUUUUGGACUUGUUAGCUAAAUCAUGUAUCUCCUCUCUAUGUGGUCCCACAAAAGUUGGAUCCGACUCCAUUUGUGAUGACUCUUCAUCACAGAUGUCAUUUCCUCUAGAGUUAAUGUGUGGAAUGUCAUUAUUGUCCUUAUUCCCAAUUACUAAAGGGUCAAUGUUAUCACUGCUUUUCAUAACUGAGGAUGAACUAAUUUCAACAUGCCAAUUGUUAUCAUAUGGAAGUGCAACUACGCCAUCACUAGUCACUCUCUUGUAUAGUAAUUUUUCAUCUAAAAACAUAACUUCAAUGGGAUCAGGCCCCCUCUCAGCAUCUAUGUGCAUUUUUGGAAGUCCCUCAUAACAUGUUGUUAAUAACUCGAUGUCAACAUCAUCCUUAAUGCUAACAACACCAAUAUCAAUGUCAUAAAAGGGGAUAGAGUACCAGAAAUUCAUAUUUGUUAUGCCACGCUCAAUUGUGAUAUACAUUUUUUGAAAUUCAAAUGAAGAUAAUUCAUCAGGAUCCCAUCCACAAAAUACUCUGAAGUGUUUGCCAGUGUAUCUAAUUAUCGAUUUUCAUUUGAAAUAUCCAUCAUAAUGCAUGUGUAUAUCUAUGGUCUUAAACGGAUGAUCUUCCAUUCUUAUACACCUAAACCAAAGUAAUAGAGAUUAAUUUACUAAUUUCAUUUUCAAUUGUAUCGAAAAGAACGGACAAUAUUUCAUACAUUUUCGAUUUCAAAAAAACAUAGUCAACAUUAACGCACUUAUCUAGAAGGAUAAAAAACAUAAUACCAGUAUGGGCUACAAUAGUCCCGGUUACUCCAAAAAGACCCAUUCUUUUCUACUUUUUGCAUAUUUAGCAAUUUUUAAAAAAUUUUCCCACAAAGAUUGUCAAAAAAACUUCUGACUAAGCCAAAACUGACACUCUUUUUACCAAGUUUCAAAAUAUCCCCAACAAUUUACUACCAAAACACCUUCCAUCAAACCAAUCAACACCUCUAAAAUUUAGGGUUCAGAUCUAAGAUUACCUCGUUAAUAGCUAUGCAAUGCUCAAUACGUCGCAACCCUCGACCGAUCUACACAGAAACGCCUUCUUCGUCUGCGAGUUACACAUGAAAAUCCCGUUGUUUAUCGGUGCCGUAGAAGAUGAUAGUGAUUGGGACGGAACUUGGCUGUAGAUUUAAGGUUUCUCUCUCUACACAUGAAGUACCGCUCAAGAUCUGCUAAUUGCAUCUGUACCUUUUCAGAUAUUAUAAAUGAGGGUACUUUUGGUAUUUUAUAUUGUUACCGGCUUUCCAGCCAGUUAGCUAGUAAAAUCCAAAGAAAUCCAAAGUACAAGGGAGUUAAGUGAGUGUUUCUAGACAAUAAGGGGGUUUCGUGUCAAUUUUCCUAACCACAAGGGGAUUUUCUGUAUUUUACCCAUAAUUUUUCUAAAAAAAAGUACAUUUGCUUAGAAUAAGAUCUCUUAAUAAUAACUUAAAUUUCUUCUAGAAUUAGUAAAUUUCAACAAUUAUAAUGGCAUUGGAAAGGUAUCAAGUUGAAGGAAUGAAACGAGCCAUAAAGAUUAAACAAUUCAUAAUGAACAAGAAGAAUAUACCUUAAUAUGCAACUUGGUCCAUGUGAGAUAAAUCUUCAAACUUUUGGCAACUCAAUUUCUUUUAAUUGUCUUUACUUCCUGCAUAUAUAACAAAAAAUUUACAAAAAAUUCUAUGAACAAUAAAGCAAGUAACUUGUACACAGAUAGUAGAUGUUUGACCGUAAAACAAUAAAGUUUACCUUUUUUUUGAUCCCGUGAAGAUUUUUACACUAAUCUUCUACACACAUCAAUACUUGAGUUGUAUCUGGGUGAAGUGAAGCCUGAUAGGUAUCAAUUACUAGAGUCUUGGCACUAAAUGUGGCCUCGGAUGCAACUGUAGUUACUAGAAUGGCCAAAAGAUUACAGGCCAUGUGAAACAAUACUAGGUAUGGGAUCCAAUUUAUUUUCUAUAAUUCCAAACAAUCAAAGUCUUUGGUGGUUGUUCCAAUCUUUUGGCAAGACUUGUCUAAAUAAUCAACAAAUUCAUAUUUAUAAGGUUCGGUAUUCUAUAUUUCAUCACAAUACUUAUCAAAGUCAUCCUAAGCAGAAAAAUAUUGUAUAUUUUUUCCUACCAUUUCUGAAGAGUGGUCUUCCACUACUUGUCCAUUUGCAUUCACUGUAAAAGCAACAUACUCCUCAUGCAACUCAAAUAUAACUUUUCAAAUAUUGGAAAUGUUCUCAAAAGCUAGGGUAGAAAAGCUCUAUAACCCGUAUUUUCUAUCUCGGAUCUAAAAUGGCAGCAACUGUCAUUAGCAAAUUACAUUCAAUAUUGUGACGACCCCACCUUCUUCUAGGGCGUACCCUAGAAGUUAGCGGACUGCCUGCCUGACUUUCGUUAGGACUCACUCACUCACAUUGACUUCAGAGAUAAUAUUUCCAUUAAACAACUGAACGUUCACUCCUAAGUACAACUCCAAUCAGCUUGAAACAUAAAUUUUUCCAAUAAAAGAAACAAAAUACAUGUUCUAAACAUCCAUUCUUAAUACCACACCAAACUCAUGAUAAAAGGUUUGACCAUUUCAAGGUACAAAGGAAAACCAUAGCUACAAUAUAUACACAUUAACGGAUCUUUCAAAACAACUUACUAAUUCAACUCGAUCAUUCUUCAAACUUCAAUUCCUGUAAGGAAAACAAACUAAAAGAUUGAGCGAAACCCAGUGAGGUUCCACACAAGCAACAAUCAAUAAACUCUUAAACCAGUUAAGCCAAUAACAAAAUUAAACAACUAAGGAACACUUUACUGAACAAUCACUUUUAAAGGGAUACGGUGCUCGCAUUAGAGCCAUUUCAAUGCACUACACACUCCACCGAACUCCUCCUUAUAAUCUCCAAAACAGUAAACAUUUCGCUUACUUAGAUGGUCAUAUCAAUAUCAGUAAUCUGCUACUCCGUGGUAAUACUCGAGCAUAAAACACUGGCAUAAUCAUAUAAGUAUCAUUUAAGCAACACAUAGGCAAUUUAAACACACAAAUGUGGAAACACUCACCAAAUUCCAAAUAAAUUACUCUCGAGUCUCGGGUUUGCUUUCUUACUCACAGCUAGCCCCCUGAGACAAGUUUAUAACUCUAAAGUGAAUAUACAAUUCAUAGAUGACCACUUAUCAUUUAUUACCUUAUGAUUUAAACUAUUAAAGUCGAGUUUUGGCUUUAAAAUACAAGAUAUAACAUAUGCAAUACCUAUCUUACAUUUCACCUCAAAACUUAUCAACUUUAUCAAUUUAAACUAAAGAAAUAACAUAUAUUCCAAGUUUAAAGUCUUAUAAGAUGUUUAGCUUAAGAUUAAACCAUUUUCUAUUCAUUAUUCUAAGAUUAAGGCAAAUAGACUUUUCAUUCUUUCCUUUUUAGAUUAAACUAGAUUCUAAGUUGCCUAUAGUUUAAAUCUCGUUUAAAUUUUACUAAUUUUCUAGUUUUAAGUUCUUUAAAAUGCUCAUAAAAAUAGUUUCAAGAUGCUAUAAGAUGCUCCAUAUAAAUUCACAACCAUUUAACCUAAAUUUUCAAAAAUUUCAUGAGAGCUUCAUCUCUUCACACAUUCGGUCAGUCAAAGCAAGAAGUUUAGCUCAAAUGUUUCAAAAUCUUCAACAAAUUCCAUCUUUCACUUGCUUAAACAUUAGUUACUUAGUAUACAUUCUGUUCAACAUGAACUAAGGUGAGUAAUUCAUAAUUUCAACAUGUUAUUCAGCUAAAUCACAUACAAAAGCUGUCAUCAGCUAUAACAUUCCCCAACUAAAUUUUCUAGCAGUGUAACAGUCCAACAUUUGUUGUUUUUUUUCUCAAAUCCUUCCUUUCAAUUUCCUGUUCCAACUAAACAGGAAAAUCAUAUUUGUUAAGCUACAAAGUAGCCUUAAAGGAAAGACUGAUCAAAACUCUUCUCUCUAUCUCUCGGCCAUGAUGUAAAUUCAGUAGCAAUCAGCUUUCAAUCAAAAUUUUCUCCAUUAGUCACUUCAUUAUGUACUCAAAUCCAACAAACAUGCUAAAACUGACAUGUUACAACUUAGUACGUUGGUUUAGAGGCUAAAAUUUACAGAGGACAACCAGAGUUUCCUAGUUUUUCCUAUCGAUUGAAGCCAAUAAAUUUCCAACAGAGCAGUAGUUUAUCAUUUGACAUUUUCUCAUAGCUUACUCUUCUGUUUUAUGUUCCAAUUAAUCAUGUAGAGGAUAUUUAUUCAACUACAGAUUAUCCUAAACAAAACAUGGAAGUUUAUGACCAAAAUUCAAGAGAAAAACUGAAUUAAAUCUCAUGUCUGCGUUUAGCUGCAAAUCUGAUGCAUAGCAGCAUGCAUCAUAUUUCUUUCGUGCUCAAUUCUCUCCAUCUCAUGCUCACUUUCUCACGCAUGAAGAAAUCAAGAUGAUGUGCAACAUGUACAGAUUAACACAGGAUUUUUCGAGUUAUUAUUCACAAAGUCAGCUGAUUUCCUCCCAUUUUUCCUAUCGGAUGAGGCUGGAAAUUCCAGCAGGAGCUUUUCGUUUGUUCAUUUCAAUUUUCUAACUUUCUCCCAAAAUUCCUGCAGCUAAACCUUUAUAAUACCUAAGGUAUUUGUAUAACAGGUUCUUCCUUUGUUAUCUUUUCCAUUUUUACACUACGAAUCGAACUGCAAUUUCUAUUGAUACCUCUCGGUUCCUACCAGUUCAGUCAAAUAUUCAUUUCAUCUUCAUAACAGAAUCUUUCUACCGAAGCUUAUUCUUUUCCUCUACCAAACUCAACUUGCAGCUUAAACAUAUACUUAGUUAUACUCAGUAUAUAAGUGUUAUUCACGAAACUUACCUCUUGCCUUAAGUGUUAGGAAUUGCAGACGAAAUCAGUUUCCUUUCCAGCUUUGUUCCCUCCAGUCCUUGGUUAGUUGAUGAUGAAACUCACCAGACUCUCGUUCUCACUUUCUCAAUCUUGCUCUCUUUUCUCACUCUCUCUGUUUUCUCUCGGUGUUGGCUUGGUAAAGAGAGGAACUAUAGUUUUAUUUUGUUCUCAGCCACCGCCCAAAUUUUAGCAGAUAGUUUUCUGCUUUUCCUUUUGAUCACCGCUUGUAUUUAGCAGACCAUUGGCUGUGAAUUUUCCUUUGGUUUCUCUCAAGCACUGCCCAAGCUUGUUUAGCAUUUGAUUGCCUUACUUCCACUCGGUUCUAGAUUCUCCAAAUGUUUGUCCUUUCCUCAAUUCUUUGCUCAAAAUUCUGAUGGCUUAUUUUUUUGUUGGCUGCAUGGUAGUUCAACCGAAACUCAAGGUUGAUUUGGUCUUUCAAUUUUAGCUCAUUUGCUUGCUAAGGCUAUAGUUUUAUUGUUUCAUACGUUAACUCCUGACUUUGUUUGUGUUUUCUUGGAAAAUUUCUUACAUUGAUCUAGUAAAUUUUCACACAUUUGAUUUUAAAGAAAUUUAACUAGACGUAUAACUUAUUCAACUAUAUAAUAUAUUCAAAUGACACAAAUUACAAUAUGCAUAUCAUAUGUUUAUUUGAUUCAUAUAAAUUUUUUUCUACACUAUUCUAGGAUAUUUCUAAAUUCUCAAUUUUAUAGAAAUUCAAUUAGACAUUUAAUUUAACCAACUAUUUGUUAUAUAUAAUAUUUCUAAUAACAAAGUAAAUAAAAUGAAAUAAAUUCAGGGCUUACACAUAAUUUUCUCGAGUUCUCACAAAUAUAGUAUUUGUUGAACUCGGCUUUCAUCUUCUGAACCACGGCUCGGAUGAAGUCAUCUUCAUCAUUGGCUCAAGCAUUUAAAACUUUCUUAAUCUUCACAACCUCUUGAAAGAACAAAUUAAUUGUUGGAUAAUUUGUCCCCAAACAUUAUAUGUGUGCCUACCUAAAAUUUCUCCAAGAUGGGGCAAACUUUUUCUACUUUUUUUUAAUCCGUAGAAGAUUGGAAAAAAAAUCAUAAUGCGAGUCUCUAUCAGUGUUUUUAAAACCGGACUGGACCAGUCAGUUCAACUGGUUCAACCACAAACCGGCCAUGGCUCCAGUCUAAUUGUAUUAAAAGUCGGAUAGUAGUCAAAAUCCGGUAAAAAUUGGUGAAUCGAAAAAACCGCGCAAACAGUGAACAAUCAUUUUUUUAUUAUUGUCUUACUAAUCAUCACACUAACAACCAAACAUAAACCUUCAAAAUUCACUUUGCCCAAUAAUUAGUCGUCUCUACUCUUUCCUUCUCUUUUUUAUGUUCUCUCUAGACCCUUCUCCAAUUCUUUAAUUUGUGUUUACUUUUCAUAUUUGUAAUCUCCAUGGCUCCAGAACUUCUUAAUCACCCUUCUUCACUCUCACUAUCCAAUUUGGUGCAAAACCCAUUUCUUUCCAUUACCAGAUCUGAAGCUUUAGUUUUCCUCUUGGUUUUUUGUUUCUUCGCGUUCUUUCACUCAAAAUUUUUUUUGGCUUCUUACUAUUAUAUUCUAUGUAUGUUGUUAAUUUAUACGUUGUUUAUGGCUUUUUUUCAUAUAAUUGAUGGGGAUUGACAUUAAUUUCUUCAAAUUCACAUGAGAAAGGAUUGCAAUCCAUGGGAGAUGUUGAAUAGUACAGAUAAGGAAAAGAUGAAGAGACAACAGGAAGUCUGGAAGAAAGUUGUGGAAUUUUUUGAAGUUUCAUCUAAAAGUUCAAAAUUUUGGGAAUUUUGGCUAAUCUGUAGGGAUUUCAUUUGAAAACAUAGUUAUUAAACCCGGUCCGAGGAGGAACCUGGUAAAAGAAAUGGGUCAACAAAUUAUUGGUUCAACUAAUGGGUGAGUGGUCCAACCCGUGGGUCACUAAAUAUACUUAAAUAUUAUAUUUCAUAAUUUUUAAUAUAGUUGAAACUAUAAUAAACUAUGUCAUAGUAAAUACUCAGUUAGUCCACUUUAUUAUAAAAUCAUUAAUUCUUAUAAGAAUUAACAAAAUCUAAAUUUAGUUAGUAAUCCACCAAAUUUCAAGUAUAAAAUUUUAUCUAAGUGUAGUUAUCUAGUUUAUUUAUGAAUUUUAAAUGCAAAAAGUUAUUAAGAAUAAUAUUUGUCUUUAAAAUGAAUUAUGUAAUAUGCUAUUUUUUAAAUCAUUCAUAGCUUAUAGAAUUUGGGGAAUAAUAAAAUUUUAUUAAAAGAUUCUAAACAAAUUUUGUUUUGAAGAAAUAAGAUAAGAAUAAAGGUCUAAUAUAUAAUCUAGAAGGGCUAAAUAAGCACCAAAUGACCUGCUGGUUUAGUGGUGAGCGCGCUUCAUUCUUGUGGUUGAGGUCUGAGGUUUGAUUCUCCAUUGCAACAUCUUCUAAAAAUUUUUAACAUAACAACCGGGUUCUAAGUUCCUAGUUUCAGGAAUUUUUUUUGGAAGUCCAAAUUUUGAGGAACUUUUUUACAAAUUUUUAGAAUUUUUGUAGUUUUUAAAAAAUUUUGGAUUUUUUAAAAUUUAUCUAAAAAUUUCCUACACUAAUUUCUCGGCCUGUCAGUAGUGAGAUGAUUGUGAUGAUGUGUAAAGUGUAAACUAAUGUAACUAAGUCAAGUUUGGAUAAAUUUUAAAUUUAUUGACGAUAAUCAUGUAUUUUUUCUAAUUUCUUAGCUUUUAUUCUCUUGAAAUGUGCUUCUUAAUAGAAUAUUCCCUUAGAAUAUUCCUUUGGAAUAAAAUAUUCCCUUAGAAUAUGAUGCCAUCAAUAGGAUACAUCCUCCUUGGUAAUCGGCAGACGUUCGGAUAAAUUUUAAUUUGAUGAUGAUAAUCAUGUAUUGUUUCUAAUUUCUUAGCCUUUCUUAAUAAAUUAUUCUCUUGAAAUAUGCUUCUUAACAGAAUAUUCCUUUGGAGUAAAAUAUUCCCUUAGAAUAUGCUGUCUUGAAUCGAAUAUAUCCUCCUCGGCAAUUGGUAGUCUUAGCGUUAUCUUUAGUAAAACUAAUUAUUUUAUUUUUUUAAAAGAUAGUGAACCGUUGAACCAACUAGUUAAACUGAUUGAACUGAUUGAACCGUGAAUUGGAGAGUCAACAGAUUCACUUGCCAGUUCGAGUUUUAAAACAUUGGUCUCUAUCUUGGAAAUGUGGUAAAGACAUUUUUGAAUUUGAUGGCACAGUUCAGCAUUUCAAAGUUGGCAUUCCACCUCGUUUGAGAAUAAUAAAGCAACUUUUUUUCAAUAUUUUGAGAUGAUGGCAAUCUCAAUAAACAACAAUGCUUCACUCUCUGAGCAUUUCACACAUUUCAUGAACUCCCUAAUGACAUUGGUGAUGUCCAUGAUUUCGAAAAGGCCAUAUUGAACCAUAACAGUAUCAGACAUGAAAUAAUUUGCCCUCACACAGUAGUUUUUUUUUUGUUCUAGAGAAGUCAUCCAUCAAAAGGCUAAUAACAACAUCAUUGUUCGAAGCAUUGUCAGUAGAGAAUGUGUGUAUUGUGACGCCCCACUUUUCCCAAGGGCGAACCCAAGGGUAUCGGCGGAACGCCUGCUCAACUCUCGUCAGGACUCGGUACUAAUUCAAUUUACACUUAAUAAUAACCAAUCGAUACUAAAAAUCGAAGAGAUAAAGGAAGGUCAAUUCCUCCAUAAACGUUCAAGUCUUACAUCAUAAUCUACCCAAUUACUUUACAUCCCCAAAAUAUACAACUUCCAAAAUCAAAUUCUAAAUAAAUACGUUCACAAUUUUAAUCAAGUGAAGCAUCAAUUAAGCUUCUCCAGAAUUCCUCUCAUUUCAGCUCCUGUUAAGGAAAAACAAAUCUAACGGGGUGAGCGGAUACUCGUGAGGUCAAGAAAACAUGCAGGACAAGUAAUUCAAUAGUAAUAGCACUUACACAAUAGUGAAAACUAUAACAUUCAAGAAAUUUCACAAUUUAUAAUAAACACCCUUAAGUAGGAUGCAGAAACUCUCCGGAGCUAAUGAUUUCUUACUUUGCCCAAGUUCAAUUUUAAUACCUUUUCGUGACGACACCCCGUUCUCCGGGUAGGUAAUUGAGUUCGUAACCCUUCACAUAUUCCAUGUAUGUUUUUGAGACGACUCGAGAGGUACCUCCCACCCAAAUCGGUGUGGUACUUACUAUCGUUCAGUUUAUAGUUCUGAGACGAUUCGAGAGGUACCUCCCACCCGGAUCGAUGUGGUACUUACUAUAGUCCAGAGGUCAAUGAGACAUUGCUCCAAUCGACUUAGAAUGCAUUAGGGUUCUGAGACGAUUCGAGAAGUACCUCCCACCCGGAUCGGUGUGGUACUUGCUAUCGUUCAGAGAUCUAGGGUACUGAGACGACUUGAGAGGUACCUCCCACCCGAAUCGGUGUGGUACUUACAAUCGUUCAGUUAAUAAGUCUGAAAUGAUUUGAGAGGUACCUCCCACCAAAUUGGUGUGGUACUUGCUAUCGUUCAGAGGUCGAUGAGACAUCGCUCCAAUCGACUUAUGCAGUCAUAGCAUAUUUUUCAAGUCAAAUCAUGUCAGGUCAGGUCAAGCAAGUCACGUCAGGUCAAGCAAGUCAGGUCAGGUCAAACAAGUCAAGUCAGAUCAAACAUGAGUCAUUUAUUUCAAAUGAGAACGAGUGCGAUAAAGUACACACUCGGCUCGGCAAAUCUAUGUAUCAUGUAUAACACUUGUACAACUAAUAUUUCAAUCACAUAAGUAUUUAACACAUACUUGACACUCACCAAGUAAACAAGGAAGAAAUGUCACUUGAACUUCAGGCGUUCACCAUGGGAUCCUUUUGAAGGUUCUGAUGCGAGCCUGAGUAAUUAAUAGUGAACUAUCAUGUAUAAAUCCCAAUUAUCACGAAUGAUUGUACACUUGUACAAUUUAAGAAAAUUUCACGAAAGUGAGCUUAAAUUACUCGCGAAUCAAGACUCAAAAGUGAGGUUUUUAAAGCACAAGAGGAAUCGAGUUUUCAUCUUCGAAAUCAAGUAUAAAACGUUCAAGUAAUAUCGAGAGAAAAGGAGAAUUCGAAAAACUCCAUUUCCAUAAGUUUCGAAAAUUUCAACUUUGAUACAAGAUCUUUGAAAAAUCGUAUCUCACACAUUACAAGUCCAAAAUUGGAAAAAUUAGUACCGUUGGAAACUUUUUCCAAAGUACUAAAAGUUCGAAGACACUUUUGCAUGAUUCCAAAUGGAGGACAUUCGAAAUGUGGCUCAAAGUGGCUGUUUUGGACCAUUAAGACAGUUUUGGGUUGAUUUUCGGUAAAGUUUGAAAAUUUGGCAAAAUUCAUACAAUGCGACCUAGCCUCUAAAAUUUGGAACUCAAUUAGAGUUACAAUCAAAGUUUAAAACAGAAUAGGUGGAAUAGGAAUCGGAGUUUUGAGUAUCGAGAGACAUCAGUCCAAAGUUGGUCACAUUUUGCAAACUGUUCAGUCAUUUUCCAGAUUUAAAGACUAUCUUGAAAAUAUCAUUUGGCCAUCGAUUUGGCAUUAGAAAUACACCAAAAUUGGUACACUAAAUCUUCCAUGUGUGAACAACAUUUCUAUCAAGUUUCAUGCAAAAAUUAUCACGGAAAAGUAGUCAUUAAAACAACCAAAGUUCAAAAAAUAUUUCAAAGCUAAUCUGCCUUCUCACUUUUCUUUUGCUUGUAAACGUUUUGUGCAAUGAAAUCAGUUCUAAGUCACUCCAUUUUAGAAGCCAAGAGUCCAUAAACAUCCACUAAGCAAUUUAAAGGUAAUGAACAUCACAACUUUCGAAAUAUAACUCCCCAAAUCAGAUUUGACCAUUCAGCCAAGAGAAAAGGAAAAGUUUUCCAGAUUUGAAAAGUAGAAUUUAGGACAUCUGUUGGGCACCGAGAAGGACUUGGAAUGACACCAAACUUGGUAGUAUUAUACUACCAUAUGAGGGCUAUUCCACUGUAAAAUUUCAUAGAAAAAUACGUACGAAAAGUUAGUUAACAAAAUUGUUAAAGUUCCACAAGUUUCCAAAGCAAAUCUGCCUUGUAUGUAAAUUUCUCUUUCUAAACGUUUGGCCAAAGGAAACAUCUUCAAUCUAGUUCAUUUAGGUAGACAAUGUCUAAUAAGCAUCCAAGAUGUGUUUGAUAGGUGAUUGACACCAAAAAUUUCGAAACAACAAGUCCCAAUCAAGAUUAAGGCAUCAACUAGCCAAAAGAGGGUUUUCAAUCCCUGAAUCAGUUUCGAACUUCAGCCACAACUCAUUCAAUUCAACUUGGAAUUGAGCGUGGUUUAUGGCGUUGAAAACUAGAUUCAUAAAUCUAUGAUUUCUUAGAAGAAAUGAUUCCCAAAAUCUGUCCACGGCUAGCUCAUAUUUGAGCACCAAUUCGCUGCUCAAAACAGAGCUCCCAGUGUAGAUGUGAAACAGGACAGUCAUGUUCAAAUGAUUGGUAUGGACUACUAAGGUGGAAUCAGAAUAUACAUUUUAUACUGUUUGAAAGCUGGGAAUGUCUAGUUUCCAGUGCCACAAACGGCACUCGAUUUCGACUUCGGGAAAAAAAGUAAUAGCCAAAACAAAAACACUGCCAGAACAAUUAUGGGAAAAUUUCCAGUUUUUUAUGACUUCCGAAAACACAUCAUUUGGCCAACUAAAUCAUGAAAUUUUUUGAUGAAACUUUCUACAAACCCCACACAACAUGUAUACAUCAUAAACGAAUCAUUAGAACCACAAAAAAUUGCUCUAAGGGCCACGGCAUGUACAGGGGCAGAAUUAAAAAAAUUUCCUCAUCACUUCCUUUGAGUUUUCCUUCAACAAUACAACUUAUUUCCACUAGAUUAAACACUAAUCCAACAUUAAUAACAUCAAAACACAACAAAUCAGUCCAUUAAGCCAUAGUGGGAGUUCAUAGAGUCCACUCACCAAAUUUCUAACAAUUUAAAGCUACCCAUGAGAAUCCAAGAGCUCAUGAGUGUAAUAUAACUUCUAUAAACUAAGAUUUUUGAGGUUGAUCGUUCAUUACCUCUUUGGAUGAGCAAGACAGAAAUUUUCGGCCUCUUGAAGCUCAACAAAACCGUGGAAAGCAAGCUCUCUUCCUAGCUAAUAUUGUUCACCAAGUGUUUAGCAAAUUGUACGUAAAAUUUGAGGUGAUUUGAGCAAGAAUUGUGAGGUGAAAUGAAGAGAAUUGUUGGUCUUUUUCUUCCAUGGAGUGCACGGCUGCUAAGAGGAAGAAAGGAAGAGUUGCAACGCCACUUGAGGUGAUGAAGAGAAGUGUUUUGAUCUGGUGUGAUGCUUCCAUGAGAAGCUUAAGAAUGUGUGGCCCAAAAUGGUCCAAAAGUCAACUAAGGAUAGUGCGCGUACGCGCGCGUUUCGUGCUCGAUUUCUCUCGAAUUUGUUCCACUUGUGCAUUAAACCUCAAAUGUACUUCCAAUCAUAUUAUUAUUAUUCACUUUUAAUGGUCUAAAAAUAAAGGUUUAAAGUCCCUCAAUUGAUCGCGCGCGUAAAGACGCGUACUUCCGAUUUGUGCGCGAUAAAGUGAAAUUUCCAAGAAAUUCUUAUAACGAUAGUAUCACUAGCUAAUAAUUGAACACUUAAACAUAAAAUUACCUAUUUCAAGACUAAUGUACAAGUCUUCAAUUUUUCAAGUUUAUUGUAUUCUCGAAUCGAUUCUUGAUUCCAAUCGCAUAUUCACUAUUCUCACUUAACGAACUUUUAAAAAUUAAAUUUUGAAACGAGUCAUUUUAAAAACAUAAGGAAGAUAUUGUUCCAUAUGAACGAACUUAAAAUGGUUGAAAUAAAUUAUUUGGAGAAAAUGGGUAGAUAAAUAAUUAAUUAAGCCAUUAAAAUAAGAUUAAAAUAAGUAAAAAUUCGGGUCCUCACAUCCUUCCCUCCUUAAAAAGAAUUUCGUGCUCAAAAUUCAUACUCUGAUUUAUGAAUAACCCCAGAUACUUUCUCCUCCCGUGAUCAAUUUUCAUCACUUUUAAUUCUCUCUUUUUAAAACUCACACUUAUAGAACUUAACUAUUUUCAGGUGUCAUUCAUGAUUUUAUUACAGGUCUAGAGACGUGGAGCAAUAGAUUACAUAUACAUAUAAACCGUAAAAUCAAUUAAAAGUAAGGUAGAUUUUCAUAUGUCAAAAAGAUCAUAAUGGUUACACUAGUUAUAAUAAGUUCCUCAAACCAUUUCAAAGGAAAAGGGAAACAACAAGAUCAAAAUAUGCUAAGUCGCAAUAUACAACAAAAGGAUGUCAUCCCCUAUACAAAAGAUUAUAACCUCUAAAAGUGCCAGUCCAUGCUAGGGUAAAACUACGAUCCCUAUUUGUCGAGUGGAGUCAGAUUUACCCAUACUCAUAGAGUUUCUACUAUUUGGGUUUCUCUUACAAUCAUUAGCAUUAAUCACUCUUUCUAGCACUUGACUGAUUUUGCAGUGGAUUUAGCAGGUUGUUGAGAAUUUUCUUUUUCCUUAGAAGCUUUAGGGCAAUUCAAAAACUUAUACUCGGUACUACCGUAGCUCAGACAUUUUCCUUUUUUUCUCCAGCACUCAGCUUCAGUGUGGUUAAUCUGGCCACAGUAUCCACAAGUUACGUGAGGAGUCACGGUUUGACCAGUUUGAGAUUUCUCUUUUUGUUGAUCUCGUCUACUCCUAUUUCCUUUUGGCGGGGUUUUGCUUGAUGGAGUUUCUCCAACUUUUUCAUGCAUCUUCACUCCUCCAACCUCUUUUUCCAUAUUAAGGGGUUGGGUAGACUUCUCGGAUGGUUAGAGAUAUCACUUGGAUUACCCCUCUUUCUAGCAUGAAAAGUCUUAGAUUGAGACUUAGCAUUUUCUAUCCUCUGUGCCUUAUCCAAGGCAUCCGUAAAAGUGAUAAUCUGGCCAGCUGCUAGAGACUCUUGAAUUUCUACAUUUAACCCCUGAAUAAACCUCCUUAUCCUUUUCCGUUCGAUGAGUACAAGCUCAGGGGCAAAUUUGGACAGUUUGGUGAACUGCUCUUUAUACUCGGCCACACUUAAUAACCCUUGUUUUAAUUUAAUAAAGUCGUCCUCCCUCUUUUCUUGUAUAAUUGGCGGGAGGAACUUGACAUUAAAUUCCUUCUCAAAGUUUAACCAAAUCCAAGGGAUUUGUUCUCUUUCCCACUUUGCACUAACAACAUUUCACCACGAGCGUGUCGUCCCUUCAAAUUGAAAAAUAGCAAAAUUCACUUGCCUUUUCUCGGUAUAAUCUAAAGCACCAAAAAUAGCAACCAUCCUUUCAAAUCAAUUUUCUGCUAUUUCGGGAUCAGACCCUCCAUGGAACUUAAGGGGAGCGAAUUUCAAGAAUCGCUCGAGAGAUCUAUCCUCACUCCUCUCUUGAUUCCUAGGUUGAUCGGCUGGUACAGGUCCUUGACGCUUAACUAAGCGUUCGAGAAUAUCGGUCAUGCGGUUAAUGGCCGUAACCACUUGGUCACCCUCUUCGUUUCUAGGGUUUUGGUUUGGUCCAGUCGCGGACCUCUCACCUCUCUCGGGAGUGCGGGGUUGCCGAAACCCACGCCCACGGCCCCGUCCACGUCCUCGUCGAUUCAUUUAGCAAGUUUCUAAACGCAUAAUAGAAGUAGAAAGUAUAAGCAUGUGAAUCCAAAAACAGGUACACAUUAUGAGAACACUUUAAAUCAAAAUAUAGCUAUUUGCAUAAGUUAGAAGUCAUGUCACAUGUCAAUGUACAUACAACGAGUUAAUAGUAUCAAACACAUGUCAUAGGCAACUAAGUGCCACAAAUAUAGUACCUGCAGGUAAAAUACAAAAGGCCUCACGGCGAGCUCCACCCCUACUAUACGAGACAGGAUCAAAAGAAAAACCAUAAGUCUAGUUAGGGACAAAAUUAGAAUAAUCCAUGAUACCAAACCACAUCAUUCAAAUGAUUAUAAACUCCAAAUUGCAUCCAAAAUCUUGAGCUACUUCCUAAAUUCUCAGCCUCCUCGCUAGAUUCAAGGUGAAAGUUCUUGUACAAAUUAGGGUAAUAAGUCAAAUCAAACGGAAUACAAAGAUGUCUCAUUUUCAAGUUCAAAGUGGAGCCCAAAAUUGUUCAAAUGGUUCAACUUUUCUUUCGAAAUGUUCGACAAGCAAAAGAGUGGGGAAAGCAAGGUUUCUAACCCUUAAACUCACUAAAUGGCUAUUUAGAUUUUCUAAUCCUGACUCACCUCCAACCUAACUUGAAAAGUAAAGUCUUAUAGUAUUUUGUGAGCAAAAAUGGUGCUACAACCUCAAGCACCAAAAUCACGUUGCACUUAAUAAACAAUCAAAUCUCAUAAUCCGGCAUCCUAAACUUUUAGGUCUAGGAUACUCUACAAAGAUCUAAAACCUAAACUCUGAUACCAACUGUGACGCCCCACUUCUCCCAAGGGUAUCGGCGGAACGCCUACCCAACUCUCAUCAGGACUCGGUACUAAUUCAAUUUACACUUAGUAAUAACCAAUCGAUACUAAAAAUCGAAGAGAUAAAGGAAGGUCAAUUCCUCCAUAAACGUUCAAGUCUUAGAUCAUAAUCUAUCGAUACUAAAAACCAAUCGAUACUAAAAAUCGAAGAGAUAAAGGAAGGUCAAUUCCUCCAUAAACGUUCAAGUCGUAGAUCAUAAUCUAUCCAAUUACUUUACAUCCCCAAAAUAUGCAUAUUCCAAAAUCAAAUUCUAAACAAAUACAUUCACAAUUCUAAUCAAGUGAAACAUCAAUUAAGCUUCUCCAGAAUUCCUCCCAUUUCAGCUCCUAUUAAGGAAAAACAAAUCUAACGGGGUGAGCGGAUACUCGUGAGACCAAGAAAACAUGCAAGACAAGUAAUUCAAUAGUAAUAGCACUUACACAAUAGUAAAAACCCACUCACCAAAUUUCUAACAAUUUAAAGCUACCCAUGAGAAUCCAAGAGCUCAUGAGUGUAAUAUAACUUCUAAAAACUAAGGAUCCGUUUGGAUUAGCUGUUUUUUGGGUUGUUUUUCAAAAACAGCACUGUAGCAUUUUGUUUUUCAAAUACAAGUCCGUUUGGAUUAGUUGUUUUUGGGGUUGUUUUUCAAAAACUAUAUGAAAAACUUUUAUUGUAGAUGUUUUUCGAAUUAUUUUUAAAGGUAUUUUUAAAACAUAUUUUUGAGUAUUUUUAUAAUUUUUAAUUUUUAUAUUUUUAUAUUUAUAUACAUUUAUGCAUUUAUAAUACAUUUAUAAAUAUUUAUAAAUAAAUAUAUUUAUAUAUUUAUAUAAAAAUAUAUAAAUACAUUAUAUUAUAUAUAAUACAUAAUAUAAAUAUAUUUAUAAAUGUAUAAAUUAUAAAUGAAUAUUAUAUAAAUGUUUAUUAUAAUUUAACAUUUAAAAUUUUUAUAUUUUUAUAUUUAUAUACAUUUAUACAUUUAUAAUAUAUUUAUAAAUAUUUAUAAAUGUAUUAUAUUAUAUAUAAUACAUAAUAUAAAUAUAUUUAUAAAUGUAUAACUGUAUAUUAUUAUAAAUUAUAAAUUAUAAAUAAAUAUCAUAUAAAUGUAUAAUUUAUCAUUUUUAUAUUUAUAUACAUUUAUGCAUUUAUAAUACAUAUAUAAAUAUUUAUAAAUGAAUAUAUUUAUAUAAAAAUAUAUAAAUGUAUUAUAUUAUAUAUAAUACAUAAUAUAAAUAUAUUUAUAAAUGUAUAAAUUAUAAAUGAAUAUUAUAUAAAUGUUUAUUAUAAUUUAAAAUUUAAAAUUUUUAUAUUUUUAUAUUUAUAUACAUUUAUACAUUUAUAAUAUAUUUAUAAAUAUUUAUAAAUGUAUUAUAUUAUAUAUAAUACAUAAUAUAAAUAUAUUUAUAUAUUUAUAUUAAUAUUUAUAAAUGUAUUAUAUUAUAUAUAAUAGAUAAUUUAAAUAUAUUAAUAAAUGUAUAUUAUUAUAAAUAUGUAUAAAUUAUAAAAGAAUAUUAUAUAAAUGUAUAAAUUAAUAUAUUAUAAAUAUAUAUUAAUAUUAUGUAUAAAUGUAUGAAUAUAAUUAAUAUAAAUGUAUAAAUGUAUAAUUAAUAUUAUGCAUAUUAAUAUAAAUGUAUAAAUGUAUUAUAUUAUAUAUAAUACAUAAUAUAAUGUAUUUUAUAAAUAUACAUAAAUAUAUAUUAUGUAUAAAUGUGCAUUUAUAUAAAUGUAUAAUAUAUAUAAUAUAUAUUAUGUAUAUAUUAAAUAUAUAAUAUAAUAUACAAUAUUUAUAUAAAUGUAUAAUUACAUAUUUAUAUUGUAUAUAAUUUAUAUAAUAUAUAAUAUUUAUAUAAAUAUAUUAUAAAUGUAUACAAAUAUAUUUUAUAUAAAAUAAAAUAUUUAUAAAAUGUAUAGAUAAAUAUAUAAAUAUAUAAUAUUACAAAUAUAUAAUUUAUAUAAUAUACAUUAAUAUUAAUAUAAUUUAUAUAUAAUAUACAUAAUUGAAAUAUACAUAUUAUAGAUAUUAAUAUCUAUUAUAAAACAAAAUUGCAUAAAUAUAUAUAUAAAUAAAUGUAUUUAUAUAAAUAUAUAAUAUUUAUUUCAAUUGAUAUAAUAUAUAAUAUUAUACAUAAUUGGAAUAAAUAUAUUUAAAUUAAUAUAAUAUAUAUAUCCUAUAUUUAAUUGAAAUAAACAUAUUAAAUAUGUAUUUGGAGUUGUUUUUUAUAUAUUGUUUGGAUAUGUGUUUUUGGAGUUGUUUUUGAAAUACACAUUUACUGUAGCAUUUGGAAUGUGAAAAACAGUUUUUCAAAAAUAGCCCCAAAAACAAGAAUCCAAACGGACCCUAAGAUUUUUGAGAUUGAUCGUUCAUUACCUCUUUGGAUGAGCAAGACAGAAAUUUUCGGCCUCUUGAAGCUCAACAAAACCGUGAAAAACAAGCUCUCUUCCUAGCUAGUAUUGUUCACCAAGUGUUUAGCAAGUUGUACGUAAAAUUUGAGGUGAUUUGAGCAAGAAUUGUGAGGUGAAAUGAAGAGAAUUGUUGGUCUUUUUCUUCCAUGGAGUGCACGGCUGCUAAGAGGAAGAAAGGAAGAGUUGCAACGCCACUUGAGGUGAUGAAAAGAAGGGUUUUGAUCUGGUGUGAUGCUUCCAUGAGAAGCUUAAGAAUGUGUGGCCCAAAAUGCUCCAAAAGUCAACUAAGGAUAGUGCGCGCGUUUCGUGCUCGAUUUCUCUCGAGUUUGUUUCACUUGUGCAUUAAAUCUCAAAUGCACUUCCAAUCAUAUUAUUAUUAUUCACUUUUAAUGAUCUAAAAAUAAAGAUCUAAAGUCCCUCAAUUGAUCGCACGCGUAAAGAUUCGUACUUCCGAUUUGUGCGCGAUAAAGUGGAAUUUCCAAGAAAUUCUUAUAACGAUAGUAUCACUAGCUAAUAAUUGAACACUUAAACAUAAAAUUACCUAUUUCAAGACUAAUGUACAAGUCUCCAAUUUUUCAAGUUUAUUGUAUUCUCGAAUCGAUUAUUGAUUCCAAUCGCAUAUUCACUAUUCUCACUUAACGAGUUUUCAAAAAUUAAAUUUUGAAACGAGUCAUUUUAAAAACAUAAGGAAUAUAUUGUUCCAUAUGAAUGGCCUUAAAAUGGUUGAAAUAAAUUAUUUGGAGAAAACGGGUGGAUAAAUAAUUAAUUAAACCAUUAAAAUAAGUAAAAAUUCGGGUCCUCACAUGUAUCCUGUGCUCGAUAUCCCACUCCUUCAUACACUUGAAAAUUGAAGUUGCAAUCUCAAUCCCCCUUUAAGGUGGUAUGUGAAUAAAAUUUAACACUCUCUUUUGUAGCUUUGGUGGUUUUUGUGCAUAUGUGAAGACCUAAAGUGUGGCUGAGAUAGCGGUGAUGGUCAAAGAGCGAGAAACGAACAAUAGAAUAAAGAUAACGAGAGUAAGAAACUAAAGAGAAGUUGACCGAAAAGUGAGAGACGGGAAAAGUAGAGACGAUAGAGGCAAAAGCAAUCUCUGGAGAGUGAGAGAUGAACAAAGAGAGUGGCAAUCGAAGAUUGGAGAGUGAGAGGCAGCAAAUGCUGCGAUUUUUUAUGUUUCCUUUUUUUCGUGAAUUUUGAGAAUUUUAGUGCUUUUUGUUAAGGUUUGCUCUGUCUAGUAUUUUAGAAUUAUGUUAUUACUUGUUUUUCAUAUAAGAAUUUCUUAGUGUACAAAACUUCUGGUAAAUUUUCUAAUAUAUAUAUAUAUAUAUAUAUAUAUAUAUAUAACUACUUGAUUAAACUCGUUGAGCAUUCAAGUAGCAUACAAGGGUGCCUGAACUCAGCUUGAAACCAUUAUUUAUGUCUAAUUGGAUUGGGAUCAAACGUUCAGCAAAAGAAUCUCAGUACUUUGAAUUGAACGCAAAAAAAUUGAAAAUUCCAUUGCCUUUGCUCAUAUUAUUCCUCAAUUAUCUUCUUUUUUUUUGUUUUCUACUUCCUUUUUUCUUUUAGUGGAGGCUUCAUGGUAGUUGUCGAUUAGCUGUUUGGUGGUGGAGUUGAAUGAGAUGGUGGAAGAAUUUUCCUUUUUCAAUUAAUAGUUAAACUAUAUUUUUUACUCGCUCCAUCUCAUUGUUAUUGUCAUGUUUCCUUUUUCUUUGUUCCAAAAUUUGAUUCACACUAUAAAUUUUCUUCCAACAUUCUAGGAUUACCCUUGAAAAGUGAUCAUGUAAAAGAGUAAAGAUUUGUUAUGAAUCCUGUAGAAGUCCUCUUCUUGAAAAAAAAAAAGAAAGAAGAUCGGUGUAUUUUUUUUUUUGAAAUGUUAGGAGAUUUUAUAACUUUCACAAAAAUGUACAGUAUCGGAGCAAAGGCCCUAGUCUUUACAAAUAUGCAUAUUGGCACAAUAGAGUGGUAUAGGACCACUCCAUGUCACAAAAAUUAAGUAGAGCAAUUUUGCUCAAACUAUGACUUAAGAUAUAUGAUUCCUGAUCUAAGCUACCAAAAAAGCACAUUCGAAACCAAGAGGCCAUUUUUUGUAUGUCCUCCAAUAUGGUUGCUAUCCCAUUGUUAGCCACUUUGUUAGCUUGGAUUUCGAUAACAACUUCCUGUCAGAAAGGAGAUAACAACUUCCUAUUAGCAAAAAGCAUCCUGACUUUCCUCCAUCCCUUUUCUGCUGCUUUUAUCAGACAUAGUCUAACAGCAUCUACAUAGUCUUGCUUUUUGUUUACUAAUUGUCUUUCUCUCAGAGACCAUGCUUCCAUGCCUUGUUCUAAAGCAUUUGAAGCUGUUACUCCAAUGCCAACAGUUUUUUGUUCUGUUUGGUGCUGAAUUGCUAGCUUCAUUAUCACAAUGUCUUGGUCCAAUUGUUCUAUUCAAUUGUUGUCUUGAUGCCUCAUUGUUUCUAUUAUGCUCCUCCUUGGUUGCUGCUAUCUUGCUUCCCUAUAUUCUAAUCAUUCCUCUAUAGCUUUCUCACUUACUUGGAAUGGGUUGUGUUUAGUUGCAUUGAAGAUUCUGUCAUUCCUUGUUUUCCAGAUUUGCCAAAGCACAUGUAUUGUUAGAGAUAUAUAAUCCUCCCCCUCGUUCCUGUUCCUUGCUUGCAUUAUAAUCUUCCACCAUUGCUUGAAACAUCCUGUCUGAUCUUCCAAUCCAUCCCAUUGCAGUGGUGCACAUUUCCAUAUAUCCCUUGCCUUUUUACAUUGUAACAAUACAUGUUCAAUGGUCUCUAUUGCUUCUGCACUGCCACAGCAUAUUGGAUCACCUUGUUGAGUCCUCUGGAAUAUCUUGUCUUUCACUGGCAUUCCAUUGUUGAUGCAUUUCCAGACAAUGAUUUUCAGUUUUUGUUUGAUGGGUAGCUUCCAUGGUGCUUUCCACAGCUUGUUGUCCAUUUGUUGGUAGCUGCAUCCCUCUCAUGUUCUUCUUUCUUCUUUCUUUUUCCCCUUUCCCUGUUACAAAAUCUUGUACCCGGAUGAGACUGUGUAUUGGCCAUUUUUGCAAUGCCUCCAUAUCAUACAGUCUACUCUAUCAGCCAUGCCUAUUGGGGUGUUCAAAAUGUGUGCUGCAUCUUCUUUCCUAAAAAUCUUGAAAAUUAGAACCUAUUCCAUCUAUGAUUGAUGAUGAGGUCUAAUACCUUUUGCAGUCUGCUCCCUUCUGGCUUCUGUGUGUGUACUUUCCCAUUGCUAUUGCUAUUAAUCCAUCUGUCUUUCCAUAUGUCAUCUUCUUUCCCAUUCCCUAUUCUUUUCUUGCAUUCUUUUUCAAUGAGCUCUUUUGCACUCAUUAAGCUUUGCCAUAUCCAAGAGGCAUUCUUUAGCAUCUUGCUUUCUAGUAUUGACCCAUCUUGAAAGUAUUUGCUUUUUAAUAUUUUGCUUUCUAGCAAGUUAAGAUUUGUCAUUAUCCUUCAUACCUACUUAGCAAGAAGAGCUUUGUUGAAGAGCUGCAGGUCCUUGAACCCCAUUCCUCUAUCUUCUUUGUCCUUGGUGAACUUCUUCCAUGCAAUCCAGUACAUCUUGUCUUUUUGUUCCUUUUGUUCCCACCAGCCACUAGCCAUCUAAGAGCAUAUUUCCUUACAUAAUUUUUGAGGGAAUUUGUAGCAUGACAUGACAUAUGUUGGGAUAGCCAUUGUCACUGCCUUGAGCAAUGUUUCCUUCCUUGCUUGGCUAGGCAGCUUUGUCUUCCAGUGCUCCAUUUUAUUCUUUACCUUAUCUUUAAUGAAGCCAAAAAUCUACUCCUUAGUUCUGGUGAAUAUCAUUGGUAGUCCAAGAUACUUGCCCUAAUUGACUGCCUAGAUCUCCCCUAAUUCUUCACAGAUGCCUUGUUUCUUGCUUUGAUUGGUGUUUUUAAUAAAGAAAACUGAAGAUUUCUCCAUGUUGAUGAGUUGGCCAGAUGCUAGCUCAUAUUUCUUCAAAAUUGACUUCAGUUCUCUUGCAUCUUCAAGUUCUGCAUUGCAUAGUAUUAAGGAGUCAUCUGCAAAAAAGAGAUGGGUUAGAUGGGUCCAUUCCUACUAAUCUUCAUUUCUUUCAUCUUUUUGUUGAUUUCUGCUGUUCUGAGUAGGCUGGAAAAUCCUUCUAAGCAUAUCAAGAAUAAGUUGGGUGAUGGAGGAUCACCCUGCCUAAAUCCUCUUCCUAGCUAGAUGAAUUCUCUUGGCUCGCUAUUGAUAUUGAAUGAAUAGGACACUAUGGUUAUGCAAUUCAUAAUCCAGUUUACCCAUCUGUCACAAAAGCCCAUUUUGUUCAUCAUUGCUUUCAAAUAAUCUCAUUCUACUCUAUUGCCAGUUUUAGAUAUAUCAAGUUUAACAGCCAUACAACCCACUUGCCCUUUCCUCUUAUUUUUUUAGAGAAUGCAGAAAUUCAUGAGCCAAAAUAACAUUAUCCAGGAUUUGUCUACUAGCAAUAAUCAUAGACUGAUUCUUGCUAAUACAAUUCCCUAGCACAAGUUUGAGCCUGUUCACUAAAAUUUUGGAUAUUAUUUUGUACAGAACAGAACACAAGCUUAUAGGUCUAUAAUCCAUCAGACAAGUAGGGACAAGAAUUUUGGGAAUGAGGAGAUUAUGGUGUGAUUAAUGGACUUCAACAUAGUACUUGAAUGAAAGAAACUUUGGACUGCUUUAACAAUGUCAUUCUUGAUCGCAUCCCAAUAAAAUUGGAACAAAGAGCAAUCAUACCAUCAUUUCCUGGGGCCUUGUUUGGAUUUAUUGAAAAUGUUGCUAUAUUUAUCUCAUUUUCCUCCACAGGUUUGAUUAAGAUCUCGUUCAUUUGAUCUGUGAUUGUCUAUAUUUAUCUCAUUUUCCUCCACAGGUUUGAUUAAGAUCUCGUUCAUUUGAUCUGUGAUUGUAGUUGGAAUCCUCUCAAGUAUUUCUUGGAUGUUGUCCUCCCUAACUGUUCCUGUUGAGGCUGUAAACAGAUUCCUGUAAUAUUGGCCUAUUUCCUUUCCAAUCUCCUUUUCUAAUUUUGUCCAGCUUCAAUCCCCUCUCUGUAAUUGUUUUGUUUUAUUGGCCCUCCUUCUUCCAUUCACUACUACAUGAAAGUAUUUGGAGUAUUUAUCUCCCUCCUUUAACCAUUGCAACCUUGCCUUUUGACUCCAGCAGAUUUCUUCUUCCUAGUAAGCUUCCUUUAAUUAUCUUUUUAAAGCUCCAAUUUCUACUCUUAUAUUUCCUUCCUCCUGCUUCUUUGUUUCUUCCAGCAAUGCUUUUAUUCUCUCAAUUCUCUCUUUUGCAUUUUCUAUCUUAUUGAUAUGCCACUUCAACAAGUGUAUUCAGCAGUUCCUGAUCUUUCUUGUUACUUUGUACAUUCUUGAUCCUUCACCUAAUAUGUUCCAGACAUUUUUUAUCACUUGAUGAGUUUCUUCAUAUUGCAACCAACAUUUAUCAAAGUAAAAUCUUUUUUCCUCCUUUGUUUGCAGGGCAGGUGUCUAACAGCAAAGAUGCUAUGAUCUGAAACCCAAUUUUCCACAUAUGUGCAUUUUGCUUCAUCAAACACUUCUGACCACUUAAGACUGCUCAAUCCCCUGUCCAAUCUUUCUUUGAUUUCAAUCUCAUCAGCCCAACUAUUCCUCCAUGUCUAUGGUACCCCAUCAUAGCCUAUAUCAAUCAGAUUGUUCUUUCCAAUGAUUCUUUAAAAUCCCUAAAGCUCCACUCUUCUCUUUCUCUUCCAUCUUAUUUCUCCUCCUUGCAUUUUAUAUCAUUAAAAUCUCCUAUUAUGAUUAGUUUUCGCCCCACGCUCUUUGCCUUUCAGUGAUGAUAUCCCAUUGUUUUUUCUCACCUGCCUUUCACAACUUGCAUAUAUGCCAACUAGCCACCAACUUGUUCUUGCAUCACCAUCUUCAAUUUGAGCUUCUGUGGUAAAUGUGGUAUGUUGCACUUUUUUAAUUUAUACCACACUUGUCCACAUUAUUGCCAUCGCUCCUGCUUUAUUAAUUGCCUCAACCAAAUAACAAUUCUCCAUUCCUAGACUUCUUUGCAUUUUCUGCAUAAAUGCCCCUUUGUUUUUUGUUUCACUUAAUAUUAUAACAUCUGGGGAGAGGAAUUUGUUAAACUCCUUCAGCUGGGGAAUUGUCAAGGGGCUCCCUGCUCCUUGGCAAUUCCACACCAGUACCUUCAUAGCUUAUUUAGGGACCAAUUAAGGCUUAUCUGCAUCCCUUCCUUGUUCUUGCUCCCUUGUCCUUGGAUUUCCUCCAUCCUGCUUCUUUUUCCCAGCUGAUCAUGAUCAAUUGCCUCUUCCAUGCUUCAUCACAAAUCCAGAGCUUCCUUUUCCCAUUUCCUGUGUUCCAUUUUGCUGGUCAGUUAUAUCUUUUAAAGCCUAUCUUGGUCUAUUUUGAAUUUUGACUCCUCUCUUGUUCCUCCCUACAGCUUUUGCACUUCUGAUCUCUGACCUAUUUUGUAUCUCUAGAUCCACCUGCAUAUCCAUAGACUCAUUGAUUCUAUUAUCCUCUUGGUUAUCAUUGAUGAAUCUGUCCUUUAUUUCCGUCUCUAGCUUUGUGUAUGUUUGUUUUGUAGUUCCUAGUCCAUCCCUUUUCACUUCCCUUUGUUUGCUAUUUGUUGCAGCUUCGGUUCUUUGCUCAUCUAAUUCCUUUGUCAUCCUUUCCUCUCUUCCUGAUCCUCGAUCCUCUUUUAUUCUUUGCAGUCUGUCCCUUCUUAUAUAUGCAAUAGUAAGUUCUUGAUCCCUUGCACCUUCACCAUUUUGGUCAUUUCUAGCUGUUGCCUUCAAUUUGUCCAUCAAUUCCUUUUGAUGUGGUGAUAUAUUUUGAAACUUAGGAAUCAUCUCCCUAUUUCUAAAAAUCCAGUGUUGCUUUUCAUUUGUGGGGCUGUGGCUGAUACUGCUCUCUUUCUGUGGUGACAUCUUCCCUCCUCCAAUUCUCGUCCAUGGACCAUAUUGGCUCUCACUUUGUCCUUUACUUAGCACUAAUUUUGUCUUGCAGUUCCUAUCACUAUGCCCAAUCAAACCACAUUGGUAGGAAAAAUCUAGGCAUCGUUCAUAUUUGAACUGUACCCAUUUAGAAACUCCAUCCAUCUUCGCAGCCGUACCCCAUGGUAAUGGUUGGGUUAUAUCCAUUGUUACCCAUAAUUUCAAGUGUUUUCCUUCUUUCCCUCCCUUUCCCCCGGGGUAUGAUAACUUCUCUUCUUCAAAGAUGCUUCCUAUUUUUUUCCUAACUUCUUUUGCAAUCCAAUGCAGGGGUAAAUUCCAUAUUUGUACCCAUAAAGGAGCUAAGUUAAAGGCUGCCUCAUCUUCUUCAAUUCCAGCUCUCCAUUGUCUGAUUAUUAAUAUUUGGUUGUCCAAAAUCCAUGGACCCCUUUUUAGAAUUCUCUCCUAGUUUUCUGCUUUUUGGAUUAUGAACCGGAAUAGAUUUGGCCCUAUUUCAUUCAUUCUCAGCUCCUUAGGAUAUCCCUAUGCUUUAUUAACAAACUUCUUAACUCUGUGAAAUUAGCAACUUUUUCACCUUUUAUCUUGCCGAUUGAGCUAUUCUGGCAUUCCAUCACCCCACAGUCUACAUCAUUCCUGUCUAAUUCAGCUCCUUUUAUUUCGGAUAAGGACAGUGCAAAUCUUUGAAUUAUCUCUACUAGCUCCUCCUUCAUGACUAACAAACUUGAGUACUUGGGGGAUUCUGCUUCAAUCACAGAAAAUGGUGUAGACAUGUGCAAAUAUGUAGUGAACCUAGGAAAAGAUAGCAAAAACAUAGUAAAAGCAGUAUAGUUUUUAGGUUAUCAAAGUCAAAAUGAAAAAAAAUCCAGGUGGGUUACUAAUAAUGAAACUUAAAGGAACCAGUCUGAAGAAAGGAACCAAUAUGGUUUGAGUUGGUUGGAGUUUGUGUUUGGGAUUUGGUUGUCUGAAUGUUUCAGUUUUUAAGUUUGGAAAUUUGAGAUUUGGAGCUUUGAAGUUUUGAAGUUAUAAGGUGCGUUUGGAGAAGGGAUUUGCCUAGAAAAAAAAGUGAUAAAGGGAAUCAAUUUUUCAUCGUUUAGGAGAUUCUUCGUGUCAGAAAAGAAGGGAAAUGAGCUGAUUUGGUUGGAUGUGUUUGGAGGCUAUAGUAGAGAAAACCUUUCUGCCCAUUUUGGGUUGAUUUGGACGGAAAGUGGAAGAGAAUCUAUAAAUUUUUUUCAAAAUGCCAAUUGUAUCCUUAAAUGGUUACUGAACAAAUUUUUAAUGACAUAUAUAUUCAAAACCUUUCCACUUUUUUCUUUAAACUCUCAAACAAUAUUAAAAUAUCUUCUCUUCUUUUCUCAUCUUUUCUUUUCUUUCAUAACUUAAGGUUUCUUCUCUUUUCUUUUCUACCUAAACUCCCAAACUAGCCAUAAAGUUUGAAAAGUUUGGAAAACUCCCACUUAGGGGAGAGUGAGCUCACAUGUAGAGAGAGAGAGAUAGAGAGAGGCCCUCACUUAGGAGAGAGAGUCAGGUACACUAUUACAUAAGAAGAUUAGUGUAUGAGAGGCACCAUAAAGUUUGUUUGUUAGAUUUCAUGCAUGUUUCUCACAGCUAUAUAAUGGGUUUAAAAUGAUAUGGGACCCGUGAAGUCUUUUCCCACAAGUUGCCUAACAUCAAAUAAAUUCUCACACGAAUGUCAAUAAUGAGUAAAGGUGGAAUGAACAUCUAUAAAAUUCAAACAUGUUUCUACUAUACAUAAAGGUUGGGAAAUUAAAAAAAAAAUCUCUUUUAUUGAGUAGAGGGAAUAAUUUAGCUGAUGGAGAUGUGAUCAAAUAGUGAAAGUAUUGGGAAUAACCCGCUAAUUGUACUCAAUGUGCAUCAAAUUCGUAAUAUUAGGGAUCAUAUUUGCUUUUUCACAAAACUUAAGGGAUCGGAAGCAUACAUGUUGCAGAUUUUGAGAACCACAAUUGCAAUUUUUACCUAGAGAAAUUGUUAAUGGUAAAAAAUUAGGACUGUUAAUGGAGUCAGACCAACCCAAACUCGACUUAUUCGAUCAGAGAAAAAACCCGAUGAGCCCAACCUUUCAGUGAACUGAGCUAAGCUUGGACCCAAACAAUAGGUUCAAAUUAAAUAUGAGUCAAGUUCCUGCCUCAUUAGAGUUAAUCCGAUAUAAGCCUGAUCAUUUAAUUACUUAUAUAUAUUAUGACAUAUAUUAUAGGAGGCAAACAAACCCAUUUAACUAAAUUUAUCCAUACCCGUCCAUGAAUAAAUAGGUAUGGGUAUUUUAAAUUUUUGCAUAUGGGUAUAAAUGGAUUACCCAAUAAUACCCAUUAUUGAGUAAUCUAUUAAAUCCAAUUAACCCAUUUAGAAUUCUCUUCCCCCAAACCUCCUCUCUUUCCCCACCCUUUUUUUUAUUCAAAAUUUUCAUUUUAUCAUGAUGUUAACUACUUUUGUUUCAUUAUUAUUAUUAUUUAUUGAAAUUAUCUUAUCAUUUUAUUUUCUCUUAGUUUGUUAACUUGCUUAUUUUUCAACAUUACCAAUUCAUGACAAGUUUUAGCCUCUUUGCCUACCUUUUCAAAAUGAAAUUUUAAAUUUACACACGAAAAAAAUGUUAGGGGGUCAAAAUUUUGGAUUAAGUUUUAUGUUAACUUUUAUAGUACUUAAUUCAAAUUUUUAUAUUCUUAUUGUUCAAUUAUUAAAUAUAUGUAAUUUUGCAACAUAGAGUACGGAUGUGAAAAAAAGUAGUAAUUAGGCUUAUUGAGUAUUAUAAGUAAAUAUUUAAAACUAAUGAUGGGUACAAAUGGUGGUAUAAAUUGAUAACUUAGUUUGUAAAAAUGAAUUUAAAUGAGUUUAUAAAAAGUUAAAAUAAAUGGGUUACAAAUGAAUAAUUGGAUUACCCAAUUCAUUUUUGGACAUACCCAUUUAAUUAAAUGAAUAUAAAUGGAUUAACCCACUUAUACUCAUUACCUAUUUUAACCAACUCAAACCCGCCCAAGUCACCUAUUUUGACACCUCUAACAUAUAUAUAUGUAUAUAAUAUUUAUAUUUUGAUAUUAUAUAUAAUUAUUGGUAUAUAAUUAUAUUUUGAUAAUAUAUUUUAAACGAAUUAGAUAUAAAUAUUGUUAAAAAAUUUUUAAUUUAUGUACUUUUAAGAAUUAUUACUUGUUCAUGUAUAAUUUGAAUAUUGUGGUCCCGUGAAUGUUGAAUUAGUUUUACAACUUAGCAGUUAUAAUAAUUAUAUUAAGAGAAUUGAGGAGUAAUAAGUGAACUUGAACUCAGAUCAAAUAAGGAUCAAAACUCGAAUAUUUUGUGAGUCAAAUAUGAGUUUCACAUUUAUCAACCGGAAACUCAUGAUCCAAAAUCCAAUAGUGUUCGAAAUGAGUUGAGCCUGAACUUAUGAAAGAUCGGCUCAAAUGGCCCGAAUAUUUUGCGAGUCAAAUAUGAGUUUCAUAUUUAUCAACCGGAAACUCAUGACCCAAAAUCCAGUAGUGUUCGAAAUGAGUUGAGCCUGAACUUAUGAAAGAUUGGCUCAAAUGGCUCAAUUGACAAGCCUACCAAAAACAAUAGGAUAACUUAUUUCCAAAAAAUAUAUAUAUCCUUUUUGUGAGUAAACUAACUUGCCUCCGUUAAAAGAAUGAUUAAUCUUAUAUAUACUAUCAAUGUAUACACUAUCACCAUUAGAUAUAUAAUACAUGUGCAAAUUUUGAAUUUGAAAUUCAAAAUUCAAAAUUUAUUCAUAUAUUAUUCAUCCAACCGUGAUAGUAUAUAUACUGAUAGUGUAUAUAAAAUUUACUAGGACCAAAAAAAUAAAAAAUAAAAAAGAUUGAUAAAUAACAAGUACUGAUAUAGAAUUAGAAAAAGGUUUGCUUCCUGCUAUACAGACAUUCAGCAGCAACUCUGUUCUUAAGUCUGUAAACCAAAAAUUGCAACCUUUCAGACCCUCUUGCGAUGGCCUUGCAGGAGCGAAUUCCUAUAGAGAUUGAAUUCCCAAUCUCAACUUACACAAAAUUCGAAUAAUUCCCUACAUGUAGGCAAACUUUGCCUUCCAUAUUCUCUCAUGGAUCU